UGGAGUUGGAGCUAUCAGUGUUUUUGCCUCUAGUCUCUCUACCAUUCCACACUUGAGACCUGCUUUAAGUCUUUGACUCACAACACGCACAACUCACACACACUCACACAACACGCACAACACACGCGCACACACGGAUUCCUUCACACGUUGACCGCCUUUCCAUUGUACUUCAUUUACCAAGUACACACGCUUUAUACUUAUUAAUAAUAAUAAAUAUAUAACUUUUUCUCAUAUUCUACGAAACAUUUACGGAUUUUAUAAAGACACACACACGUGGAUUCUAUGACAAAUAUACACACAAACACAUGUAUACGCACACAUAUACAUAUAUAUAUAUACACAAAGAGGUGGAUCGUAGAAAACGGUAAGUUUUGAGUUUUUGUUGAACUUCUCAAGUUUUCUAAACUGGUUUCUUGCUGUUAUUGUUGUUGUUGUUAUGGUGUUGUUGUGCAACUCUGUAUAUGUGUGUGUGUAAACUGCUUUAUGUAUGUAUGUGUGUCUGUUGUAGCGUGUGUGUGUUUUUCAAUGUUGUAAUUUAUAGAAAUCUGGUGUGUUGUGUAUAGAAGUGUUUCUUAUUUUCUCACUGUUGAAGUGUGUGUGUGUGUUGUGUAUGUGAUGUGUGUGUUGUGUAUGUGUGUGUAUUUGUGUGUAUGUAUGUGUGUAUAUGUGUGUGUGUUUGUGUGUUUAUGGUAAUGUAUUUUAUGUAUGAAGACGGAGGGAGGGGCUUGGUUUGGUGAAAGGCACCGAUAUGACCCUUUUAGGGUCUCCGAGUGGAAAAGAGAAUGUCAUUCGCAGACCAUGGAUCUGAUCUGGUUAUUUGCAACAGUCUGGCCUCUGCUACAGGUACCCACGGGUAGCAGUCCUACUCUCCCAAAUAUGUGGGAGUGUGCCUUAAUUAGGCGACCUGUGUAGCUGUAGUAGCACUGAGCCAAAUUUCAAAGUUUGGUCAACUGUCUAUCUAUCUAUCUAUCUAUCUAUCUAUCUAUCUAUCUAUGAUCUAUCUAUCUAUCUAUCUAUCUAUCUAUCUAUCUAUCUAUCUAUCUAUCUAUCUAUCUAUCUAUCUAUCUAUCUAUUUAUUUAUUUAUGUAUCUAGCUAUCUGUCUGUCUAUGUAUCAAUUUGUCUAUCUAUCUAUCUAUCUAUCUAUCUAUCUAUCUAUCUAUCUAUCUAUCUAUCUAUUUAUUUAUCUAUCUAGCUAUCUGUCUGUCUGUCUGUCUGUCUAUACUAUACUUAUACUAUACUACGUAUCUUUCUGUUUAUCUAUCUUUGUGCUUAUCAAUCGACUUAUCUAUUUAUCAAUCUGUUUCUCAGCCUGUUCGUGCAUCUAUCCGACUUUCUCCCUUACAAAUCGCACAUACACAUAUAUACAUGUGUGUGUAUAUGUGUGUAUGUGUAUAAAAUCAUCAUAGUCAUGUACGGAAGAGAGGGUGGUUAAGUUUUUGUCCUCUGUUAACGGUUUUGUUUUUGAUCAUCAAUGCAUGUGUGUGCGUGUGGAUUUCCACCUCGGCAUCCGAAACUCAGAGUUUUAUCUUAGCUACCGAGUAAUUGUCACAUAUUAUAUUUACAGAUAAAUUCCUCUAUUUACAUAAUAUUGAGGUCUCUUUCUUUCUUUUGUUAUGUUACCGUUUUUACCAAUAUAUAUAUAUAUAUAUAUAUAUAUAUAUAUAUAUAUAUACAUAUAUGUGUGUGUGUGCGUGUGGACACAAACAUACACCCGCACACACACAAAGACUAUUAUCCGUUACUUUUCGCAAAGUAUUCCCCUAAUACCAAACAUCCAAACAGCCCACACUACUUUUCUGUUGUUGAAACCCAAUUCUAUAAAAAUACUAACCUCAACUGCCUGCAUACAACCACAUUCGCACACGGACACCCACUCACAUGUAUAAACACACUGACACGCACAUCCACACACACACACACACAAUACAUACACAUACGUAUAAAUGCACAUUCAUAUAAGUACACACAUAAACACACACACACACACACACACACAGAUCGUAGACGCAGCGAAAAGUCAGUUCAGUCCAGGAACCAAAACUCUUUGAAUUGAUUCAAAUAUUCAACGGUUCUGAACCAAAGUUUCUGUUUGGAAUAACGACGAUUUGAGGAAUACUGUGCACAUGCGCGCUCACACACACACGCGCGCACGCGCACACACACACGUACACACACGCACACAUACACACACACACGCACACAUACACACACACACACACACACACACACGCACACAUACACACACACACACAUAUAUAUUAAGGUUUGAUUUUAUAUCGAGUUAUAAAUAUUACUCGGAUGUUUUCGGUUUGAACGGCAGUUUUUAACAUAAUUUCUGGGUAACUAAAAAAUUUUAAACUUCGUAUACUGGUAGAAUGUGUUUAUAAAACAUCUUUUUCUCUUGGCUUUGUUGAGAAAAUUCUAUAGUUUGUAAGAUAUUUGUUGUUUUUUUUCUUCACUUUCUGCAAUUUCAACCAAUCAAUGACGUCUAUUGAGGUGAAAACAUUCUGUGUCGUAUGAAUAUGCCCCUCGUUUAAGAAACAGAUUGGGUUUAUUUACAUUUGUGAAGAAAAAAGAUACCCUUCCCAUAACCCUAACCCUAACCCUAAAAUAGAUUGAAAUGCAAUAGAUUAGGGUCAUAAUUAUUUGUGACAAUUUCAUAUGACACCGCUAGAAAAAAAUGCCGUUCAAACCGAAAAGAUCCUAUUACUCAAUAUCUAUUGUUGGAUAUAUAUUUUUUAGGUACUAUUUAAAAAGAGUGGUCCCAGUGCGCGCACUCGCGUACUCGCGCAUCCGCGCUAGCUAGUCGUGACUAAUCGAUCCUACAACGUAAAUAAAACAAAAUGAAUAAUUUUUUUACACAAAUAAUUUUUUUAAACAAAGUAAAUAAAACAAAAACACAAAGUAAGGAUCGACUAGUCACGACUGGCUAGCGCGGAUACGCGAGUACGUGAGUGCGCGCACCGGGACCACUCUUCUUAAAUAGUCCCAUUUUUUAUACAUUUACUAGAAGAGUGUUUGAGAGUGACUUCGAAAUUUCGGCCUGCACGUUCCGAUGAAGGCUAGUUGGCCGAAACUUCGAAGUCACAGUCACUAGCCUUCUUUUAAAAGUAUAUUUGUGUGUAUGUAUAUUAUAUGUAUAUGGAGGUGUUUAUGUGUGCAUAUUGUGCGUGUGUGUGUGUACACAUUGUCGUAAUUAUUUUCAUACAUUUUAAUAGCAUAAUCCAUAGUUGUUCUUUUUUGAACAAGAAAUGAUCGAUUGAGACCGAUCACACUUCGCAUUUGCAGUCUUUCACAAAACCCCCAAAACAUUCUUUAUUUUUAUCUGAUGAAGAUUAGUGUUUUCCAACCGUGAUCAUCCUUCCAUGAUUUAUUUUUCCGGUUAAUAUAUAGAUCCGCGCCCGGGUGGGACAAAUGGAAAAUAAUAUGUGUAACAUAGACCACUUCUUGAAGCGGUCUAGUUAUAAUAUGAGAAAGACUUAGCAUCUAUUUCGACCCGCUCCACACUGCUAAAUUAUUUGAUCGAAUCCUGUAAAUAUGGAAGGUUAGGUUGACCUCAGCAGGAUUCGAACUCAGAACGUAAAUGAAAUGCAACUGUGAUUGCUUAUUUGCUGGCUGACAUCUAGGGGACGCUACUAGGCUCAAGAAGAGUGGUCCCGGUGCGCGCACUCACAUACUCGCGUAUCCGCGCUAGCCAGUCGUGACUAGUCGAUCCUUACUCUCUCUCUCGCUCUCUCUCUCACACACACACACACACACACACUCACACACACACACACACACACACACAUACGGCCGAUUCUAUGACCUAAUGAAGGCAGCCUCUGUCUCAUACCUACAUGUAGUAGAAAUAGCAGCCAAAUCUCCCUCAAAUCACACCCUGCUGCCUUACGUUUCUAUUGUCCUCCAUAUAGUAACUCGAUCUGUUAGAAAUAGCAGCAAAAUUUUCCCCUCGUGUCUCAGUUUUAGGUAUAUAAGUAUGUUCCAAGGACGUUGACUUAACAUUAUCAUCAUCAUCAUCAUCAUCAUCAUCAUCACCAUCGUAAUUGUCGUUUUAACGUUCACUUUUUCAUGCUUGCAUGGGUCGGACGGAGUUCAUUGAGACCGGUUUUCUUCGACCUGGUGUCCUUCCAUGUGUGUGGACAAAACAACUGUAGCACUCAACACUUUUGAUAAUAGUUACAUAUGCGAUUUAAUAACAGUUUGACCCGACUCUGGGGCAAUUUGAGUGUUUCGUAGGCUCGUACGACGGAACUUUAUAUCCAUUUGUGUGUUUGUUUACAUUUUGCGUGCGCGCGCGCGUGUAUCUGUGGAAAAUCGCUUCGUUUAUAAGUUAAGUAUGCUAAAGAGACAUUGACUGAAAGACGCAAUCUCUCUCUCUAUAUAAAGCUGAAGCUGUCUGUGUAUGGCAGGUUUGGAAGCCUUCAACUAACGCUAUCUCCUCCGAGACCCUGUGGCGCAAGUUGACCGAAAUUGAGAGUAUGAUAGAAGGCUUGCUGCAUAGAAGAAAAAAUUCAAAUCGGACCAUGUUAACACCAAAAAUUAUUUACAUCAAAAAGGUGCUUUUUUUUUUAAUGAAAAUCCCUAUUUUUUUACAAUUUUUUGACUGAUUUGUCGCCAUUUUUCGGUGUAUUUCAACCAGAAAAAUGUUCACUUAAAGAGAAUAACAAGCUACAUAAUGCAAAAGUUUUACUUUUCAAAAAUUCCAAUUCUAAAGGGUCGAAACAAACCCGAGCAACGCCGGGCGAUACUGCUAGUACUGGAUAUAGUAUUUGUUGUCGAUUGUGGAUGUUUUGCUGUGACGUUUCAACGAUAUUGGACUCUCGAGACAGUGUUUGGUAAAAUGAAGUUUCGUGGUCCUUUUCUCGUUCAGAACUUUGUUUCAUGACACAGUGAUCAGGUGACAAAUAUAUACAGAGGAAGGCGGCGAGCUGGCAGAAACGUUAGCACGCCGGAGCGAAAUGCUUAGCGAUAUUUCGUUUGCCGUUACGUUCUGAGUUCAAAUUCCGCCGAGGUCGACUUUGCCUUUCAUCCUUUCGGGGUCGAUAAAUUAAGUACCAGUUACGCACUGGGGUCGAUGUAAUCGACUUAAUCCGUUUGUCUGUCCUUGUUUGUCCUCUCUGUGUUUAGCCCCUUGUGGUUAGUAAAGAAAUGGGUAUAUACAGAGGAGUACACACCUUGACAUCUACUACUACUACUACUACUACUACUACAACUACUACUACUACUACUACUACUACUACUACUACUACUACUACUACUACUACUACUACUACCACUACUACUACUACAUAGGAACUGUUUUAUCUAUGUAUUCAUCCAUUUUAAAGGCAGUAUGUUGAAAUUUGAAUAUUUGGCUGCUGUUUCUAACACGUGACCACGUACCCAACCAUACCCCUGUUAUUAGUAUCAACAACAAUCAUAACACACCACAAUGUCUUCUAAUAACAUACAUACACUCUAAAUUUAAUUAUAAGUCUUUCUUUAUUUGCAAAUUGACCGCGAAAAGUCACAUAAAGGAGAGAAAUGGACAAAAAGCAACAAGAUUGAUAUUUUUCUACCUAGGGCACGGCAUUGACCCCUUCCAUCAGUUACACAGUGAAAAUACUACAAAGAUAUCAUUAUUCAAAACACCCGGAGUCUGACAACAUUACGUGCAUACCCGUAAAACACCUCCAGAAACUACCAACAGCACAGCAUAAAUACUCCUAAAAUAACCCUGAGACUUUAUUUACAUUAUUUACAUUUGACGGAUAUUUAUCCUCAUCUUGUUUGUUGUUAACACAACGUUUCGGCUGAUAUACCCUCCAGCCUUCAUCAGGUGUCUUGGGGAAAUUUUGAACCUGGAUUCUCAUUCCUAAGGUAUUUUCCACUGUUAUUAUUAUUAUUACUACUAAUCCCAAGAUUCCGAGUUCGAUUCCAGGCAGUGACCUGAAUAGUAAUAAUAAUAAUAAUAAUAAUAAUAAUAAUAAUAACAAAACCAUCGAAAAAUGCCUUAGAACAUCGCAUUCAGAUAUGACAUUAGUCACCAGAGGGAGCUGGAGUCGAUGAGGAAUCCUCUAUGCAAUUGCUACCUUCACUUGUUAGAGAUAUGAAUUGCCAAAUUCCUUCAUCUCUCACCUUACCAUCUAAAAUAAAAGGGCACUUUCGAUAAUGUGGUCCUAGGUUCUCUGGACAUAGGGAAAAGUUAAGAUGGAGUGCUUUUGAUCAUAGGUCUGUUUAAGUUAGGUUUGGGGCUAAACAAUGACAGCAACACCCUUUACAACAAUUGCAUAAGGGCCCCAUCAACUACAGCACAUUCCUUACUAAAUAUGAUUGACAUCAACAAAGGCCCGACUUCGUUUCCACUAUCCAAUAUCCUGGACACCCCCUUAAUAAACCUACACACUUUCAUCUACCAAAUUCACUCAAGGCUUUCGUAAAAUCCCUCACACUUUCAUAAAAUGGAAUAAAUGUCUGCUCUGAGAGGAAGGGGUCUAAAACUUGGAGCAGAACAUCACGGGGGAAGGUGUGAGACUUGUCUUCGUGGCACAAUAAUUUAUUCCACUUUGGGAAAUUUUAUUAUUUACUGAAGCAAACUGAUGCUGCUUUGCUCAAUGUCAACUGUUUCAUAGUUUUUCAGUUUUUUUAGCCUUUUACAGUGUACAAAAAUAACACAGACAAAAUUUGUGAUUUUCUGCCUUCUUACUUGCUCUUUAUUUAGCCUGAACCUACACGAUGUUCCCACAUCAGCCCAAAACAUACACGCAACCCUCGAAUGCAGAUGACAUCACAUUCACAUUCCUUCCCCUCCUCCUCUCAACAGACACUCUGCAAUUAUCCAGCUGCAACACAGCUCCAAAGCUAUACGACUGACCUAGAAACCUGGAUCCGAAACGAACGACAAAUUGAAAGUAGCAUCUAAGCAGACCUCCUGUCUUCCAUUCUACGAGAGAACAUCAAAUAUAACCAACCACCACAUUCAACAGCAUAAACAUACCACAGCAUACACAGAAGAUAAAAAUACCAGAAUUUGCACAAUACACAGCAGACAGAGAGAUGUUAUAGACAACCAUAUUACCAAAGAAAAGACUUGUUCAGGACAAUUAUAUCUGGCCAGAAGAUAGAAAUGGCAACAGCAGGGUACAGACAUACAGGCCAGUUCGUCAGCCUUGUCUGAACUCUUUAUAUCUGCACGAUAAACCAGAUUUAAAACAAAAUAAUCUAUUUUGCAUCAACCGCAGGUUGUACACAGAGCUCAUCCGCAAACCACCUCCACCACGAAAGCAAAAUACCAAAACUGGAGACCACCCCCUGGGCAUGUGAGGCGUGCACAGCUUGUUGCUGUAACAGAUUUGCAACACAUACACAAUCAUUAACAGACAUACAGACAGAUCCACGAUUACAACGUACAAGAACACUAAUACAACAUAUCAUCAUCAUCAUCAUCAUUAAAUGUUCGCUUUCCAUGCUGGCAUUGUUUGGACAGCUCGACAGGGAACCGGCGAGCUGCAGGACUGUGUCAGGUUCCAGUGUCGUCUUUCGCAUGUUUUCUAUGGCCGGAUGCUCUUCUUAACGCCAACCACUUUACAAAGUGUACUAGGUGCUUUUUACAUGGCACAGGCACUAGUGAGGCUGCCAGAGUUUAACACUGUUGCAAUAUUCCGUAACCCUAAUACGCUAGAACAUUAAUACAACACACCAUUUACAUUUAUAUAACAUGCCAUAACACAUCAUUGACUCUAUACUUUAACUCAGACAAUCAUAGACACAUGCGCUCAAACAACACACCCUUAUCUAUUUAGAUAUAUAGAUUAAAUAUCUACCGGCUCAAAGGGAAGCUACUUCUAGGAGCUUUCAAAAAGGCAGUCACACAAUCAUAUGUUCAACUUCAGUUCAAACCGGAAUUUUAGUGCCAUACCAAUUUGAGCACUCGGUGGAUGCCAAUUAGUUUGAGUUACCCUGUUGAAAACUCCUCGCAUCUUUUAGAUAUAGAUGUAUGUAGGUUUCAUACUAGUGCACGAAACUCAAGGCCCUUGAGUAUUACGAAACACAUACAUAUAUAUACAUUUAUACAUAUAUAUAUAUAUAUAUAUAUAUAUAUAUAUAUAUAUAUAUAUAUAUAUAUAUAUAUAUAUAUAUAUAUAUAUAUAUAUAUAUAUAUAUAUAUAUAUAUAUAUAUAUAUAUAUAUAUAUAUAUAUAUAUAUAUAUAUAUAUAUAUAUAUAAACACACACACACACACACACACACACACACACACACACAUAUAUAUAUAUACACACAUAUGCAUAUACACAUACGUAUGCACACCCAGAAACACACACACAUACACGUGUGUGUGUGUGUGUGUGUGUGUGAUAUAUGAUUUGCUGAAGAAUGAAAUAAAUUUGCCCCCACGCAACUGUCUUAGAUGUCUCCAAAAAUGUUGGAGCGAGCGUGAUCAUAUUUUUAUCUCUUGUCUGUAUUCAUAUCUGAGUUAUAUCUCCCACUAUUGCUAAUCUUGCACCAGUGUUCAUUCUUCAACCUCGACAUGAAAUUAUCGUGAAUCUAACACCUCCCCACUCCUUCACCAACAUAACACUUCUCCGACACCGGCUUAUCAUCAUCUCUUAUCUUCCACCUCUCUCUCUCUCUCUCUCUCUCUCUCUCUCUCUCUCUCUCUCUCUCUCGGUAUAUAUAUAUAUAGCUAUCUCUCGAUCUCUAAAAAGAUUGUCUAACAAUCUAUCACAAUUAUAUUUUAGCUACUCCUCUUUCUCCCCUUUCUUCAAAUAUAUGUGUGUGUGUGUGUUUGUUGGUUUCAAAUUUUGGCACAAGGCCAGCAAUUUCGAGGAGGGGACAAGUCGACUACAUUGACCCUAGUACUUAACUAGAACUUAUUUUAUCGACCCCACUACACAAAUGGUACUUUGUUUUAUCAACCCCUGACAGGAUAAAAAGCAAAUUUGACCUCGGCGGAAUUUGAACUCUGUACGUCCGAAGGAAACCUUGCUUAGCUAACGAUUCUACCAGCUCACCAUCUUAAAUAUGUGUGUGUGGGGUGUGGGGUGUUGAUCAAAACAGUUUGUUUCAAAUUGGCUGGUACUCUCGAGUUUCAAGCGCGUGAUGCCAGUCGUCAGCCAUUUUGAAUUUGAAAUGGCUGACGACUGGCAUCACGCUUGAAACUCAAAAGUACCAACGAAUUUGAAUCAAACUCUUUUGAUCCAUACAUGUAACCCCCUUCUUUAGUUUGUUCACUGACUCGGACAUAUAUAUAUAUAUAUAUAUAUAUAUAUAUAUAUAUAUAUAUAUAUAUAUAUAUAUAUAUAUAUUAUUCUUUCAUUUGUUUCAGUCAUUUAACUGCGGCCGUGCUGGACCACUUAUUCCAUCGGUUCUCUUUUGCAGAACCGCUAAGUUACGGGGACGUAACACACCAACAUCGAUUGUCAAGUGAUGUGAGGGGACACACGCACACAAACACGAAUACAUACAUACAUACAUACAUAUAUAUAUAUAUAUAUAUAUAUAUAUACUAGCAGUAUCGCCCGGCGUUGCUCGGGUUUGUAAGGGAAAUAACUAUAUAAGCAUUUUUAGAGAGUUAUAGCCAAAAAAUAGCAAAAAAUGCAUUAAAAAUGGAAAAAAUAUGAUGGUAAAUUUUUUGAAAAAUCGUUGACUCAUCGUAGACAUUUUCAGAGAGUUACUUCCCUUAUAUAAUAGCGAAAAAAUACAUUAAAAUGGAAAAAAAACGAUGGGAAAUUUUUUUUUAAAUCGUAGACUCAUGUAGACGCUUUCUUAGCCAUUUCUGUUUUGGUGUCUUCAAGUCAUGAAGUCGUUGUUCUAAAAGAACGCUGGUCUCCUUGACAACGCAUUACGACGUUGAUUUCCUUACACUCCCUUCCCCACAGGUGCAGGUGUGAGCGUGGACGCCAACUCUGCCACCAUCGACACACGAAAAAUUAUGCAUUAAAAUGGAAUAAAAAAUGAUGUUAAAUUAUUUUUAAAAUCGUAGACUCAUCGUAGACGCGCGCUAAUACUCAGACGGGCUCGAUAUGAAUCACGACUAUAAGCUACCCGAAUUUGGUUAAACUGCACCGCAAAAUGUGGGAGUAGUUAGGAAUGUAAAUCGAAGGGGACAGACACUCACACAACUACAGUUUUAUAUAUAUAGAUAUACAUAGCGCAGUAGUGGUGAGAUGUGACAGCAAAGAAAAGCAUACAUUCACUCUCUGCAUGCAAUUAGACUCGGAAAGUUCGUGAGGAACCCAUUGACCCAAUUUGCUGACUUUUCCGAUAGCACACAGGUCUCAAUGAAUGGUUGAAUGACCAAAUCCAAGCUUCUCUGCUAGUUCCUCAACAGUUACGAUGAGAUUUUGUUCCACCAGGGUUUUCAGGAUGUCCUUGUCGAGUUCUACAGAUCUUUCAGGAUGAGGCUCGUCUUCUAGGCUGUUCCAAUAUAGCUUUGAAAAAAAUAGCUGUUAAAAUCGAAAUGCACUCUUCAAAACUUGCACUAUGAAUAAGGACAAGAUAAAAUUACUACCUGCUUUUAUAGCAAGUUAAUAUAAGUAGUUUAUCCCAUUCCCCUCUGACUUUUAGUUCAAGCUGUUGAAAAAACUGCAUUAUUAUAUAUACACUAGCAUUAUCGCCCGGCGUUGCUCGGGUUUGUAAGGGAAAUAACUAUAAAGCAUUUUUAGAGAGUUAUAGCCAAAAUAUAGCAAAAAAAUGCAUUAAAAAUUGAAAAAAAAUUAAGGUAAAUUUUUUUUAAAUCGUUGACACAUCGUAGAUAUUUUUAGAGAGUUACUUCCCUUAUAUAAAAGCGAAAAAAAUGCAUUAAAAUGGAAAAAUAUGAUGGUAAAUUUUUUUUAAAUCGGAGACUCAUCGUAGACGCACGCUAAUACCCAGAAGGGCUCGAUAUGAAUCACGACUAUAAGAUACCCGCUUUUGGUUAAACUGCACCGCAAAAUGUGGGAGUAGUUAGGAAUCUAAAUCGUAGGAGACAGACACACAACUUCACUCUUAUAUAAAGAUGCUUUUUUUUUUCAGUCAUAGAGUUAGAUUUAUGAAGGUCUUCAGUAGAAAAUCCUUCGAAUUCUGACUCGCUGCUUGAUAUAAUGAAAUUCGUAUCCAUUUUUUGUCAGAAUUACAAAUUUUGAAAACACAAUAGGAAAUGAGUAAAAUAAAAACCAACUUACCUUUUCUGUCCGUCCGUGUGUCUUUGCAAAUGUAUUGGAAUGAUAAGUGAGUUGUGAUUUGGCGCCUGUUUUACUAAUAACAAACACACACGUGUUUGUAUGUAGUUGUAUGUAGUUGUAUAUGUAUGUGUAUGCGUGUGUGUGAGGAAUGACACACACACACUCACGCACGCACACAUGUACAUCAAUGCUUUCGGAGUGAUAUGUUAAAAUAUUGAGUUUUCUCGAAUUUUGUCUUAAUUGGUGGUAAAAUUGAAAGAAAUUUUUUAUGGCAUCACCCACUGAAGUACUCUGAAAAAUCUUAGGUAAACUCUAAUUGAAGAAAUUGUGUAUUUAUUUGUUUCUGUUUGCUGUGUUUUUUUAUUUUUUGAGUAGUGGUUUAAAUACUUUCACUUUAGUCUUCCUCAAAUCACUCUGUCGCUAUUUACUUUCAUUUUAUUCGUCGCACACUGUGUGUGUGCGUUUGCGUGUGGUGUAAACCAGACUAAGAAAAGCAUUUGACACACACACCAGAAUGUGAGUUUUCUGUAAAUUUUGCUUAAUUGGAGUUUAAAUUUUAAAAACUGGACCUGGCAUGACGCGAUGCAUUGUACUCUUAAAAAUGCUAGGUAAAUUGUAAUUGAAGAAAUCCUAUAUUGUAGAUUUGUAUAACUCCCAAAGGGAGGCAGAUAAAAUCUGCCUUUUAUAAUAAGAGAUACAUACAUACAUACAUACAUACAUACAUACAUAUACACACACACUCUCUCUCUCACACAUGCACACAUUUAUAUUCUGUUAUUCUUUUAUAUGUGUCAGCCUUGAGGUUGUGGCCAUGCUGGAUCAUGUGUGUGUGUGUGUGUGUCUAUCUGUCUGUCUGUCUGUAUGUAUAUAUGUAUAUGUAUGUGUGUGAACAAUAAUAUUUUCAACAGAUGUGUUGCAAAUGUAUCUGAUUGUUCUCAAGCUUCAAUACUGUGUGUGUGUGUGUGUGUGUAUGUAUGUAUGUAUAUGUAUGUACGUAUAUGUAUGUAUGUAUGUAUGUGUGUAUGUAUGUGUGUGUAUGUAUGUAUGUGUGUGUGUGUGUGUGUGUAUGUAUGUAUGUAUGUAUGUAUGUAUGUAUGAGUGUAUGUUUACUUUAUUACUAACACAAGCCACUACGGUUAUUUAUGUAAAGUCUUCCUCAAAUCACUAUCUCUGGCUAUUUACUCUCUUCCAAGAACAUUUUCACUCACACUUAUGUGUUAGCUUCCCAUACAUUUUACUCAUGUAUCUAUCAGCGUGAUAGAGAGAAACAAAUAUUACAUCUAGUUUCACUUUAUUCGUUGCCCACUGUGUGUGUGCGUUUGCGUGUGGUGUAAACCAGACUAAGAAAAGCAUUUGACACACACACCAGAAUGUGAGUUUUCUGUAAAUUUUGCUAAAUUGGAGUUUAAAUUUUAAAAACUGGGCCUGGCAUGACGCGAUGCAUUGUACUCUUAAAAUUGCUAGGUAAAUUGUAAUUGAAGAAAUCCUAUAUUGUAGAUUUGUAUAACUCCCAAAGGGAGGCAGAUAAAAUCUGCCUUUUAUAAUAAGAUAUAUAUAUAUAUAUAUAUAUAUAUAUAUAUAUAUAUAUAUAUAUACGGCGGGCUUCUUUCAGUUUCUGUCCAUCAAAUCCACUCGCAAGGCUGGGCCACCGACAAGACCUUAUAUAUAUAUAUAUAUAUAUAUAUAUAUAUAUAUAUAUAUAUAUAUAUAUAUAGAGAGAGAGAGAGAGAGAGAGAGAGAGAGAGAGAGAGACUACCAAGAUAAGCCUAAUGAUUGAAAAUUCACACAAGAUCUGAAUUUUACGACAUUCAUAAUUAAGAAAUUUAAGUUUACAAGCUUUCAUUUUGUUUUGUACCACAAUCUGCCAACCCCACCCAAAAAAGAAAGAAAUUCACUAGCCAUGUAUAUAUAACCUUUGACAUUUUGCUCAUCCAGCAGAAUUGGAAGACUGACAGCUGCCUGCCAGGACCAACAGCUGACGUACUAAAUACAGACCAGGAAGACAAAGAUGAACAUAUGAAAUUAAUCAAACGUUCUGACAGUAUGUGUGUUGGACAAAUUGAAACGUUGAUCUUGUAGGGAACUAGUGUACAAUUUUAGUGGUGGCUGUGUGGUAAGAAGUUUGAUUCCCAACCACGUAGUUCCGGGUUCAAUCCCACCGUGUGGUACCUUGGGCAAGUGUUUUCUGCUGUAGCCCUGGGAUGUUCAAAGCCUUGUGAGUGGAUUUGGCAGUCGGAAACGCAAAGAAACCUAUUUGUGUGUGUGUGCAAUGUACCACAUGGCAUAUUUCUGAGUCUCCAAAGAUUCUACUAAUUUACUGCCCGAACAACAAUUUAAAGGUACGAGUACUACUUGAGAACAGUGGUCCCGGUGCGCGUAUUCGCGCAUCCGCGCUAGCUAGUCAUGACUAGUCGAUCCUUACUUUGUGUUUUUGUGUGUUAUUUACUUUGUGUAACACAAAAUUAUUUAUUUUGUGUUUUAUUUACUUUGCUAGGUAGUCGUUGUAGUAUCGAUAGUCACUACUAGCUAGCGCGGAUACGCGAGUGCCCGAGUGUGCGCACCGGGACCACUGUUCUCAAGUAGUACCCAAUUUAAACAGAUUUUUCACCGUCUCGUGUUAGUACUUUCCCUCCAACAUACACACACACAUACACACACACACACACACACACACACACACACACACACACACCUACACAAACAAACAUCAACAGUCGAUCAUCGUCUGCUCCUUCCAAACGUAAUCUCUUCUGCCCCUUUCACCCACAUCUACUCCCACCCUUACUCCUUCUUCAAUCCCAACUACUUGACCCACUACUUCCUCUUCUCGCUCCUCACACACACACACACACACACACACACACACACACAUAUCUAUGCUACACGUCGGUAUAUUUAGUGUGUGUUAAGUAACUAAACCUUGAAACCCAUUCCAAGGUUUCCCGCUGGUAUCCGGGUGGUUAUUAUUCCUCCACGUGGAAAUGAGAGUUAUCUUUCGUUGACACACUCUCUCCCUCUCUCUCUCUCAGUUACAUAUCUCCAACAACCUACCACUUCUCUGUUAACCUUACUCCUCCUCCUCAUUCUCUCUCUCCCCUCCUUCUCUCUCCCUCUUCCCCCUCUCUCGCUCCCUCUCUUCUACUUAACAGGUUUAUUUCUUAGACGACAUAUGUUGGUCCCAUUGAUAUAUAUAUAUUACAACUUGCUGCUGCAGAUUUCAAAACUCGGUUCAUAUGUUUCAUAACAAGCUUUACUAGUCUUCUCUCUUUCCCCAUUCCCCCUCUCUCCCCUAUCCUUUCACUUUCUCAUCUGCUCUCUCCCUCCGCUCCCCUUCUCUCUCCCCCUCGCUCUCUCUCCCUCUCUCUCUCUCCCUCUCUCUCUCUCUCUCUCUUUCUCUCUCAUGUGUGUCUCACUUUGUGUUUCACAAAUUGUCCUACUUAAUAUCCACAUCAUUCUAUCUAUCUAUCUUUAUCUAUCUAUCUAUCUAUCUAUCUAUCUAUCUAUCUAUCUAUCUCUCUAUCUCUCUCUAUAUAUAUAUAUAUAUAUAUAUAUAUAUAUAUAUAUAUAUGUAUCUAUGUAUGUAUCUAUCUAUCUAUCUAUCUAUCUAUCUAUCUAUCUAUCUAUCUAUCUAUCUAUCUAUCUAUCUGUCUGUCUGUCUAUAUCUGCCUCAUUCUGUAUCUCAUUGUUUCUUUAUUCAUCCACAAUUUCUCUACUCCUCCUCUCUCAGACAGACAGAUAGACAAAUAGAUGGAUGGAUGGAUGAUAUAUAGACAGAUAGAUAGACAGAUAUAUAGAUACGUACAUACAUACAUACAUAGACAGACUGACAGAUAGAUAGAUAGAUGGAUGGAUGGAUAGAUAUAAACAGAAAAGGCAAGCCAAAAUCACAGUUGCGUUAGAUUCAUGUUCAGAGGAGUCUCUUAAACGUUUCGGACGUACACAGUUCAUCUCUUUCUCACUCUGCUCCUCGUUUUCCCUUCUCUCUCCUCUCUUUUUCCUAACACACGCGCGCGCAUACACAUCGCCUCUCUCUCUCUCUCUCUCUCUCUCUCUCCCCCUCUCUUUAUCUCUCUAUAUUUAUGUAUCAUACACACGCGCACACUCUCAGAUAAGUGGUAUCGUUACGCACACAUCAUCAGUCGAUUAUAAAAGCCAAUGAAUAAAUACCGCCAUUUGGGUAUUUGGCUAUAAAAUAUAUGGGAAACGAUAACAGUUUGUUUCUGCAUCUGUCACACACACCUCCAUCAUCAUAUCGCCAGCAAAAUAAACAUCAGCAUCAUCGUCUCCCCACCACCAACACAUUAUUCCCCAUCAUCAUCACAAUGAGACAGAUUCUGCAGACAUCGCUUGUCCGGCUAGAAAGAGUAAUGAAAUCCUUCUCAGGAAAGAACAUGCUGGGAAGAUGGUCCUGAGUUCCCUGAACAUAUUUAGGUUCCCGUAACCUAGCGGUUCGGCAAAAAGAUCGAUAGAAUAAGUACUGGGCUUUAAAAAAAUCCUGGGAUCGAUUUAUUCGAGUAAAAACCCUUUAAGGCGGUACUCCAGCAUGGCCGCAGUUAAAUGACUGAAACAAGUAAAACAAUGGCUCGGAAAAGACCUUUGAUCUUUUUCAGACUGUGGAGAAAAUGGCUAAAAUUUGCCCUGUUUAUAAUUAUACCAUAUGUUAUAUAUAUAUACAUGUAUGUAUGUAUGUAUGUGUGUAUAUAUAUAUAUAUAUAUAUAUAUAUAUAUAUAUAUAUAUAUAGAGAGAGAGAGAGAGAGAGAGAGAGAGAGAGAGAGAGAGAGAGCAAUAAGAAAAUGGAGGGAUCAAUAGGUGGUAUUCAUCAACUUCUAGACAUUAUAUUAUGUCAAUUUAUUUAUUUAUGUACUGAAAGAAUAAUUAACACACAGGAAUAGAAAUUGGGAUAAUAUCUUACAGCUGUUUCAGCCAAGAGGCAAAAAUACCUCAUUCUACCUUUAUUCCUCCAGUAGACUGAAGUAAUUAGUAGAUGAAAUUGAAGUACUUGGGUGUUUCUCUAGGCUUCGUCAGAGAUUUUAGAAAGUACAUAAGGUUAAGUUAUAAAUAUAAAUACACACACAUAUGCAUACUUAUACAUAUACAUAAAUACAUAUACCUACACUUAAAUGUACAUGCAUAUUUGCAUAUAUAUGCAUACAAAAGAAUCAAUUAUUAUUAUUAUUAUUAUUAUUAUUAUUAUUUAUUAUUAUUAUUAUUAUUAUUUAUUAUUAUUAUUAUUAUUAUUAUUAUUAUUAUUAUUAUUAUUAUUAUUAUUAUUAUUAUUAGAUGCAUUAUAUUGUUCAUAUUAGAUAAAAUAUAAACACAGAGGUAUGAGAAAGUUAUAAGAUGAAUAAUAUUGUAAUUUAUAAAAGCAAUAUAUCUUAAAGUUAUUUCAGUUGUGCAAGAAUGAAACUGCAUAUACUUGAGGAACAUACAUAUAUAUUUCAGCUCAUAUAUAUAUAUAUAUAUAUAUAUAUAUAUAUAUAUAUAUAUAUAUAUAUAUAUAUAUAUAAGAUACUCCGUUAUGCCAGACACUUGAUGAACCGGACGAAAUCUGAUUUAAUCCAUUAAGUCCUAGAGUACUUAAAUUUCUUAAUAUUACUUUUAAAAUUUUUACAGAUGAUUGAAAAUGGGUUAAAAAGAAAAAAAAAAUAACUAUUAAAACUCCUUUACUUCAAGUAGAAAUGGAAAUACUCGGUGCCCUAUAAAUAGGACACUGGGACAAUGUGAUAUAGCUUAUUUUAUGUUCUCAUUUAGCGUCCUAUUUAUAGGACAGUGGAACUUAAUGGCUUAAAAGACCGAUUAUCAAUGUUUAUCAGUGUUGUGUCGUUCUACAAUAUUUCAGCGAUUAAGCAUCGUGCAGCUUUAUAUUUUAUAUCAUAGCUUCAAUAGAGGAUAAUAAUCUAAAGAAAAAUGGAUGUGAACUCGUCUUUGAACCAGAAACUGGAACAUGGUCAUCAGUUGCAUAUGAAUAUGGUCGAAACAUCUACGCCUAAGAGGCCCCUGUUCAUAGUGCAAGCCUGGAAAAUGGUUGUUUUUCCCCCCUCUUUUCAAUGGAAAGCUUGCAGUUGCCCACGCAUGCAAGUCUACCCUCUCCUCGUGCCACAAGUGUUGUCCCAGAGAGAUGCGAAACCGAUACAGUUUGGCUCCAGUGUCGUCGCAGGAGUUGCCUUCACAACAUGAGCCAUGCCAGGCGAUGCAAGGCAUUCACCAACUCACAUCUCUGGACUGGUACUUUAUUUAUCGAUCCCCCCAAAAGAAGGAAACAAAUGUUGAAGUUGGUCUGAUUCGAACUCUUGACUAUCGGAACAAAUACUACGAAGAUUUGCAUCCAACAAUUUAACCACUUCCCUAGUUCGCCGUCCUAUCAAGAUGAUCUUUACAAGCAGUUUCUGAGCACAAAUACACUGCAUUUUCCGUGAAAUAUAAUGUUUGUACAAAUGAUAAAUCUUCAUACGUUAAUGUCGGAAAGCAUGAGAGAGUUACUGAAGAUACAAAGCAUUAACAGAAGUGGGUUUUCUUCAUCAACACUCAUGUGAUGAUAACAUCCGUGGAGUAGAAAUUCAUAAUUUUACUGAGUCAGAAUGACAAGUUCUCACCUCCACUUGUAUGGCUGCUAUCGCCCGCGCUCUAACUUCGUCUGGCAUCCACAACAGUUAAAUGGAAUUAAUAAUUUAAUGUUGCAUUGGUAGAGUCGUUAGAGCGUCGUUCCUGUAUUUAUUUCAGCUUCCUGUGCUCUGAGUUCAAAUCCUGCCGAAAUCAACUUUGCCUUUCAUCCUCUCGGGAAGGAUAAAUAAGGUUCCAGUCUUGUACUGAGGCGAAGUUUUCUUCUUCUUCUUCUUCUUCUUCUUCUUCUUCUUCUUCUUCUUCUUCUUCUUCUUUUCUUGGACCUGAACAGGAAGGGGCUAGAUUUAUAUGUCCAAAUUACACCGUUGCAGCUGUUUUGUCCCUGGUCAAGCCUGCUUAAGUAGACACAGCAAAAUAUAUUCCAACUGCAACCACCCUUUUUUUUUCUUGUGUUGUUUUUAUCUAAGAUGUAGGGUAGCUUUUAAGGAAGACUUGGCUGCUAUUUCUAACAAACCGAAUUGCCAUGUAAAGGAGGCCUGCUCAGAGGAAUACAUCUGAUGGCGUUGUUGGUAGUGUGUGUGUGUGUGUGUGUGUGUGUAGAUGGAAUAGAUGGUGGUGGUGGUGUGUGCGUUAGUCCUAGUGGAGUGACUGUACAUGAUGUGUAGUAAUGUAGAUGCGCACAGUGUAUACUAUUCGUGUGUGUAUGUGUUUGAGUGUUGAGAGAGAGAGAUAGAGACCACCAUCGUUUGAAAUUUAUCAGUGAUAUUUUUUUGAUCGCAGGCAAUGAUUAAACUUUGAUAAGAAUAUGUGUGUGUGUGUGUGUGUGUAAUUUAUUAAAUGCACUUUAAUCUCUGUUAAAACUCCUUUACACCAAAUGAGAACCAAGUAAAUAUUAUUCUAAUACAAUAUGAUUAACUCUAGAUUUUUUUUAUCUAAAAAUUACUGUUGUGUGUUUAUCUUGUGUAUCCCCCACCAACUGAUAUAUAUAUAUAUUAAUUUUUAACCAAAUUUUCCUGUCACCAUUUCAAACACAUCCCAUAUUUAUCUUUUACUUGUUUCAGUCGUUGUAUUGCGGCCAUGCUGGGGCACCGCCUUGAAGGUUUUAGUCUCAACCAUUUUUUUUAAAUCUAAGCACCCCUUUGAUUACUGUUCUACUCUGGUGGCCCUCCAUAGCUAUUCCAUGUUUAAAAAUUAAAUUUAUGAAUAUUUCUUCCAAAAUUCCUAUUUUGUUUUAAAGAAAUUUAGCUGUUUUUUGCAAUAAAUGCAUCAAAAACACAAUUUUUUCAAAGACCCUUAAAAUAAUAGUUUGAACCCCCGAUUUACUAUUUUGCUUAUGUAGAAUACCACUACCCACCUCAAAAAAAAUCUUAUAUGGAUUUCGGUUGAGAACUACUGGUUUAGUCGAGCCACUAAGUUACGGGGGCGUAAACUAACCAACAGCGGUGGAGCGGAGACAAACAUAAAGACAUACACACACGGUGGGCUUCGUUCAGUUUCCGUCUACUAGAUCCACUCAGAAGGAAUUUGGUCGGCCCAAGGUUAUAGUAGGUGCCGCACAAUUGAACUGAACCCAGGACCACAUGGUUGGAAAGCACAUUUCUCAACAACACAGUUGCGCCUGCGUCUAAUAUCCUACCAAAUUUGUUUCGAUAUUAUUUCUGAUGAAUUUUAAAGAAGAAACUGCACUAAAAUACCAUUCCUAAAAAUGUUCACCGUUUGCUUUCUUCCUCUGCAACUUCAGUUUCGAGUAAUUUGGAACUCUUAUGAAUUCAUAGUUACAGCCUUUGCAGAAAAUGCAUUUCUUCCGAUUUUUUAAAUUCUAUUUAUUCAUUUAUUUUGUGUGUGUCUGUUCUAAGUUCCAAAUCCUGUGGGGCAGUUUGCCUUUCAAUCAUUUCUGACAGAAGGUUUCACCGGAAUUGAUGAUGAUGAAACUGCAUAAUUUCAUCCAUCCAGGCUCCUAGUUAUAUAUCUCCUAGUGAUAGCAUGGAUAUUUCUAAAAUUGCAGUUGAGGUACACUACUACAACGAAGUAGAACCCAACAAUAUCAAAUGAAAAACCACAGGGACGCGUUUGAUAUCCGACGGGUGGGCUUCCUGGGUACAGGACAUUACCAACUGUGUAAACAACAUGAAAGUACAAAAACAAUAAAUUUUGGAAUUUAUAGGAGCAACUGUCUUCGAAGACUCAUAUUAUCGUUGAUUCCUCGAAAUAAGGAGUAGAUAGACAGCCGACAACUGAUGAAGGGUCGUUCUUUGUGUCACAUGCUUUGUUUUCCAUUUUUCUCUCAUUGUUGGCGUAUUUAACUCGUUUUUGUACUUCAUGUUGUUUACAGUUUGUGAGUCCUGUACCCAUUUAUGCAUAUAUAUUUAUAUAUAUAUAUACACACACGCGCAUAUUAUUAUUGUUAUUAUUAUUAUUAUUAUUAUAUAUAUAUAUAUAUAUAUAUAUAUAUAUAUAUAUAUAUAUAUAUAUGUUCCCCGCCCCAUCGCUUGACAACCGAUGCUGGUGCGUUUACGUCCCCGUAAGCAAGCGGUUCGGCAAAAGAGACCGAUAGAAUAAAUCCUGGGGUCGAUUUGUUCGACUAAAUGCAGUGCUCCAGCAUGGCCACAGUCAAAUGACUGAAACAAAUAAAAGAAAAGAAUAUAUAUAUAUAUAGAGAGAGAGAGACAGAGAGAGAGAGAGAGAGAGAGAGACAGAGACAGAGACAGAGAGACAGAGAGAGAGAGAGACAGAGACAGACAGACAGACAGAUAGAGAAGGGGGUGCUUUUGGUCUCUAGCUAUUUAAAUUGUAAAUGCGUUCUAAUUACCAAUACACAAAGACAUCAAAAGAUGAUAUUUCGAUUUAGUCAUGCCGCUAUCCUAUAACAGCAUCAUCACUGUUUAUUACAUUGAUAAGGUGACACACGAAUGUUCAAAAGGUCGAUGGUUCGUAUCUUGUCAUCGUCAUAUUACGUUUAAAUUAUGGGAGGCUUUAGCAUUUCGUGGCUCUGUUCAAAUAAUUGUAAAUAGGUGUUAUGACGAUGUAUAUCUCACCGCUGCCUGUAGUGUGGGUACUUGGUAUCUGGGGAGAAUUUCGUUAGUUUACACUGAUGUGUUAUACGCCUACAUAUUAACCUUACUUUGAUGUUCAAGUCCUAUCACAGACUUAUUCUAACCAAAUCUAUAUCAACUAAACGUUAAAACAGUUUCGACAAAGUGUUUCCCUUUUUUUUUUUAAAUGACGAGAGUAGCCAUAAACCUUCUCAAGGCCUCCAUAAUCAGUUGGUGAAAGGUAUAACUACCAGUUGGUGGCAUUAGAGGGAACAACAAAUUGAGAGAGAGAGAGCUAUCGAGAAACAGGGACUGCCACCACCAUCCAUCCCUCCACACACGCACAACCGAUGAGUUUCCGAAAAGUUUCUAUCCACCAAUUUGAUCGACUCGUUGGAUUUAUAGAAAACAUUUGUCCAAGAUGCUGUGCAAUAGAAUGGGACGAGAGGUUAGGUAGUUGCGAAGCGAAAUUCUUAAGCUCCACAGUGACCUGUAAGUUCAUAUUUGUAGCGGGGGAGCUGUCAGAACUGUGUACGAUAAGUAUUAUUGACAUUAAAUGUACACACACGAAGUGUCACUCAGUGGCACAGCUGAACAAAUUGAAGAAAAAGGUCACAGGACAUCGAAUUGUUUAAGAAAACCUAUAAGGAAAUAUGAGAAAUAAAGAUCGUAAGAAAUGUGGAGCAAAGUCCUGGUUAUUAUAUGACACAGUGAGAGCGGGAGGGCUGUGUGAGCACAGUUCUAAUAUAAGAAGGGUGAGAGGGCUGUGUGUUUUUAAUAUGCAAAUGGUGAGAGUAUUGCGUGUGCAGUUUUAAUAGAUGGAGAGUGAGAGGGUUGUAUGUGCACAAUUUUUCAACUCGUUGGCGCCCACUCUGGGUCGGAUAUUAAAAGAAGAUAAUUUACGUUUUACUGCGUGUCUAUGUGUGAAUGUGUGUACACAGCUGUAUAAUUGAGUCGGGAUGUGCAAUGGGGCUGGUGGUUUAUUCAUGGUGAUGAUGACGGUUUAUUCGUUGUGGUGUUGAUGAUGGUGAUGGAAGUGGUGAUGUUUGCUGCAUUUAGUUUGUGAAAGAGUGGUGGUGGUGGUGGGAGGGGUUGUAAGAGUUAUGUUAUUAAUAGUGGUGAUGAGGAUGGUGUUGAUAUGUUUUUAUCGGCCUAUUUACAACAUAGGAAAAAAAAAGUAUCCACGUUUGAGAAGUUGUUCUAUUUUAGGUUAUCUUAAUGCUGAAAGAGCACAGAUGGCGUUAGAGGAGGGCUCAGGACUAACAUUCUGUUUGUACAACUUUCUAUCCACAUCUUGGUUGGAAAAUAACAUCUACAACAUGUCAGAUAACAAGCGAGUCAACAUGGGAGUCUCGAUGCGGUCGCUCGACCGUCUAGAAAUAACAACCAAACCUCCCCUCAAAUUGCACAUUAUUGUUUUUCAAAGGGAAAGGCAUAUUUAAUAAUGUAGUCCAUGGUAUACUAUAGUUGAAGAAGAAAAAAGGGAGAUAUAUAAUUACGAUUGAAACAGGUUUAACCAUCAUUUUAUUUGAUCAGGGGUAAACCCGGAAGUGGAAUAAACAACAAUGGUAGCAGCUCUGAACAUGCAAAGUACAACUAACAAUUUUUGUGGGGCGCUACUGCUUCUCCAUACACAAACAUUGUGCACUGCUCCAUCAUCCUCAAAGGCUAUCCUAUUGAUUAGAAAACCUUCGAUCGACCAACACAUUGCUACAGUCAUUGGCUACUGACUCACUGUGUCUUCUCUUUAUUUGCUCUACCGCUUCUAAAACAGUUACUGCUCACCUAAAUUAAGAACACUGUACCUCUCUGCCGAUGUCCAUCAAAUGUAGUUACAUCUUUCGGCGUUCCUUCUGCCUCUGCACUCUCCCCUACUCACCAAACCCCGAAUCAGCAAAUGCUGUACCUCCCGGAUCAACCCCUUCCAAUAUAGCCGCCUCUCUAACACCAUCUCUCUAUACUAAACACUCACUGAUUCUGGCUACCAACAACUGAAACCAUCCAGAACUCCCCCCCUUGUUCACCUUGCAAUAUAUCAACCAUAACAGGUUCAUUGUCAUAUACCUCACCAACCCGGCAGUUCUGCGCCCUUUCCGUCAACUAAAUAAACUUUAGAAAAUAAACACCACAUUACAAACAGCAAUAAGCUCCGUGUGUUUGAUCUGCAUGGAGAAUGAACGACAUUGCUACAUUCGAUCCACCUCCUUUCUCACAUGGUAAUGUUGUUGUGGAGCUCCGGUAAGUCCGACCUAACACACCAUAGUUAUCUCUUUGUAUAAGAACUUGGUGUAACCAGAGAUCUAUGUUCCAUAAUAAACCAUAUCCUUCACACGACACUUGUCCUUGAUGUGUCUUUCAUACAGUGCGCCCCAAAGGUGGCUCCAACCCUGACCAAACUUUUCAAUCUCUCCCUAUGGGAUUCUAUAUCAAUAUUUGGAAAAACACAAAAAUGUGCUCCUCCCCUCAAACUUUGAAAACUACCAAUGUGUUUAAGUUCACUUCCAACAAUCUAGUGAUCACCUCUUUCAUCAUCACCUUCAGUCUCGAUCUCUUCUCACUGACCACUUGUAUGGCACCUUGACUUCCUUAAAGUCAGAUCUGCCGGAGACCUUCUCUCCAUAUCAUUCACUAGUGGGUCCCCUUACCCUUCAGAUCUGAAAGCUUUCCCGUAGUAAUACUACUUCACUUCACAUCAACAAGGAUUAUAAGCAUGUCUGGCCUAUCCAUGGUUUACAUCUGUCUGUCAUUUAUUGCCGAAGAUACCGAUGGGACGCCUCCUUGUCAACACUCUUCCUUUUCUACAUUGUUAGCCAACGAGGAAUCCUCUGCUUGAUCGCUCACCCUGCUAGAAAAAGCAGGCAAAUCUUCCUUAACUUACUUACAUCAUACAGUCAGUAAAAACACAUAAAAAGGAAUGUAUGUCUUUGACCAUUGUUCUACCUAAUUCAUAGACGAUAUCAUACCUUUACUGGUCGUUACAUAGCCUAAACACUUGACACAUAAUACAGGAGUCGAGCUUUGAGCAUUUAGACACACAGCUAAACACUGAAAUAGUUUGAUGACCGUGUUUCCACCCAAGUAAUGGCUGACAGCAUUAAUGUUUGAUGUUGAAAGUAAUUAAAGAGAUGUUGAAACAGUCUUCUUUGUUAUAGAACACGACCGAAAUUUCACUGACGGUUGUUCAUUUUAUGACUCAUUGCUUUCUUUUAAUUGCUCAUGUGAGACUGACACAGAAGCUUUUAAGAUGAUAUACUGGCUGAUGCGAUAUUUUUAAGAUAGAAAUCUUCGCUUUUAAAGAGUGAUAGAGAGUGUGGGUAGGGAUUUACGAAAGUUGAUGUUUCGUCUAAAUGUCAACCUCCGCGCCUCUUCCAUUUUUUAAAUUUAAUAUUUUAAUUAAUUUCUUGAAAGUUCUUUGCUGUUGCAAGCUUAAAUUUACUUAAACAUACAACGACUCAAUGAUUUUACCUAUCACAUACAUACAUAGCACCCUAGACUGCACUCAAACAUGUCUCCCUCUGUACUUCUAUACUUAUCCCCUCAUUUGAUGUCCGUGAGCAUAAUUUCUCAAAAUCUCUACUGUUUGAUCUCUCGUCCUCAGACGUCUGCGAGCCCUUGACUAUUAUUGUAAACAACGCCUGCUUCUGUUUCUGCGGCUCCACUUAUAAAGAGACAUUACAACUAUCGAUGGGGUCAAGUCCAUUAAGUUCACUAGUCAUAUACGGACCAGCUUGAGUACAGUGUUAUUAACACUGCUUGCUAUUCCAGCGCUUUCUUCUCCACAAUAUGGCAUCAAUGAAAUCGACCACAUAGGAUCUUCACUCCCUUUCUCUCCUCGAUUUCCGAUUCAAAAUCACAGAGAAGGCAUCCAUUAAUACGAAUUUUCACAUAGAAGCCGCUUGAGUCUAUUUAUGCAUUACAGGUCAUCUCUACCAGCAAGCUAAUAUUAAGGCCGACUUCAUACGGAAUGAAAUCUCCCGUUAAAUAUACAGCGAAGAACAGCCAGUAUCAAUCACUUCUAAGGAUAUUAGUGAAUAAUAAAUUUCGUGCACCCUUUACCAGAUACUGAUCCGGUAUUGAAUCCUCAAAGAAGGUUCACAUCCCCAAUAACAGCAUUUACUUUCUAAAACUAUCGCGCUUGGAUUAAAGAACCACCGCUGCAAUCCACCAGACGAUUCUGAAGGAGGGACGGGACAUACAACUGGCGAACUGUGUGUCUUCUUUGGGAAAAUGCUUGUCUUAGAAUCAGCCUUCAUAAAGCAGUACUAUAAGCUCACUGGCAAGCUAACCUAUCAACGAUGUAGCGUCUAAUAAUGUAGUGGAUCUCACUCUGUAAGAACCGCUCAUGAACUCCACAUUCAUAUAAAGGACAUAUUCAUACAAAAGUUUCUUCUGUUGGAAACAUCUCCAGAAAUGUCUCAAGCCAGAACGGAAUAUUGGGAGUUUUAAAAAAGGCCAUUUGUUUUAAUAAAUUAAAUCCCUCUAUCAACAACAGGCAAGAGGUAAACGACACCAGUUAAUAUAAUAUCAACAAUCUGCAAUAUUCUUCCAAUGAGUGAGCCUUUACAAUCCAAAAAAUAACAACCAAAUCUCUUCUGUAAAUACCGCCUUAAAGAGGGACGGAUAGAUUAAGCUAAAGGGGUGCUAGAUUCAACAAUCUAGAAAGAAAAAAAACGAUGAGAUGAUCAUAAUUAUGGCGUCCUUGAUCAUUAGUAUGCGCAGAACAAUUCAAAAAUAGUUACACAUUCGACCUUUUGAUUUCACGAUUAUCUCUUUGAUGUAGUAGUAGCAGCAGUAGCAGCAGUAGCAGUAGUAGUAGUAGUAGUAGUAGAACUUUGAGGGAUCUGGACUCAACCAUCUGCAAUUUAAAUGUAGUGGAUUUAUUCUUAUUUAUUUAAUUAUUUUACUUACAUCCCCCUUGUGUCCUUCCGUCGGUUCUAAAUUACUCACAUCCCGUCAUUAUACACAGCAACUUAAACUAUGGCAAUAUAUAUAUGUGUGUGUGUGUGUGUGGUUGUUAGUGAUGGCGGAAAUAAUCAGUUUAUGGACACCAGACAAUUGUUUUCAGCAGACAGUGGGAGGGCUAAAAUAUUGAAUUGAAAACAAAAUGAAUGGAUAGAAUAAAUUGUAAAAAUAAAGAUGAAAUAAUUUCUAAAAUCGUUGCCGUCGUAGAAUAAAGAUAAGCCAGCAACUAAGCUAGAUUGGGAUUUACUUUCGAAUCUGGUUCUGAAUGAAUCCAUUUUAUAAUUGCAUUGCAAACUAUUUGCCAUUAGUGUUGUUGAAGGACAAUGAAUGGAAUCAAUGGCGAUAUUUAGUUAUGGACCUUUGCCGCCUUAAUUCAAAUCCUGCCGUGAUAAAAUUUUGCUUUUCGUUCAUCUGAUAUCGAUGGAAUAAAGUACUAAAGUCGAUUUAAUCGACUAACCCCUUCCUACGAGUAUGUUAUCGUGCUUGUGCCUAUGUUAGAAAUGGUUAUUAAAAGACGGUGAUUCGGGAGAGCAACAUACAAAAUGUUUUGCGGAAUUUUGUUGCGUACCUUUGCAUUCUGGUUUCUCCAGUUCCACUCCUAUCUGUAUAUAACUUGGAGAGGAAUUGACACCACUAAAAUAACCUAACUCUAGAACAUUAUUUACACUAGACGGAUAUUUGUCCUCAUCUUGUUUGUUGUUAACACAACGUUUCGGCUGAUAUGCCCUCCAGCCUUCAUCGAGUGUCCUAGGAAUUUUCGAACCUGGGUUCUCAUUCCGAAGGUAUUCUUCGAUGUUGUUGUUAUUAUUAUUAUUAUUAUUAUUAUUAUUCAAGUCACUGCUUGGAAGCGAACUCGGAAUCUUGGGGUUAGUGGCUCGCACUCUUAAUUACUACGCCAUAGAACUGUGUUAACUCUAGAUAUUAUACACUACAAAAACAUGGCGUCUUCCGUAAUGCUCCAAUGACCAAAAAGAAUUGAGAUUAUGAGACAACACGUAUACUAACAAGGUUAUUAGGCAUGUCAGCUACCUGACGGAAAUACGUGAUGUCAGUAAAAAGACGACAUUAUUUUUUUUCAUACGAAUGAGAAGAUGAAGGAUAAGGAGAAUGUCUAUGAUCUCCUCUGAAGAUGAUGGAAGGGAAAGACCUGCCCUGAAUACUGUGACAAAGUGGACUCCACUAAAGGUGCCUGAUGGCAAAGUGGUGUUAAAUCAGAUGAACGUUUAAGUCUACCACCCCAAACCGGAACGGUUUAUCCGACGGGCCUCUAUAGUUUGUUUACCAAAUUCCACGCACAAUACUUUGGUAGACCCAUGACUAUGGUGGAGAAUACUACAUCACCCAGAGUGCAAUGUUGUGGGAUUGAAUCGAAAUUAACAUAAUUGCAAAACGAACUUCUUAACCUCACGAUCAUACUUGCAUCUUGUUCGCCUAUCAAUCCUCUUAACUGCUUAAAAAUAGUUAAUAAAAUCAAUACUGUAGUCACAGACAACACUAGGUAGAAAUAGGUACCAGCUCAAGUGUGGUUCAAUCUCAGAUCACAGUCCUCUUAGCUGUCAGAAAUGUGUAUGAGCAGUCUAAUAACAGCAGUGUAUGUGUCAUGGCCAGUGUGUUGAACAGUCUAUUCCAUGCUAAUUAUCAUUUAGACAACAUACUUUACCAUGCCUAAAAUUUUACUUUAAAUAUAUGCUGAAUAUUGGUUCUAUAAUGCCUUAAGGCUACAACUGAUUCCAUUGCAGCCAAAAUAAGUGAUUCUUUACAUUUUCUCCUGUUGAAACAUUUUGGAUUUUCUGUUCAUAUUGUAAGUUUUAUUGUUAUUUUAUUUUUUUUAGUUUCCCUUCUCCUCUUCCCAUCACUCACUCUCUGACUCAUGCACUCUCAUCGUUACCUUACCCUUACAUCACAUUCUCUCUUUUCCUUCGUCUCCUCACCCCUUUUCACUCCCACCUCUAUUCCUGACCCUUCUUUACCCCUCCACCCCACCUCACCCGCGCCUGUAUUACCACCACAACCCUCAUCCUCCAACUCCUUUUCUUCUACCACCUUUCUCCUUCUCUUCCAACAAACACACACAUGCGCGCACACACAUACAUAUAUAAGCACACACAAACACACAUAUAAGCACACACACACACACAUAUCAACAGUCGAUCAUCGUCUGCUUCUUCCAGACGUAAACUCUUCCCCCUCCUUCCUCCACAACAUCUACUCCCACCCAUACUCCUUCUUCAAUACCACUUACACCCUAUUCCUCAUGUACACGUGCACACACACGCACACACACACACGCACACACACACACACACACACACACACAUACACACACUGAUCGUCUGCUCCUUCCAAAUGUAAUGGCCUUUCCCUUUCCUGUUUUAUUUUCCCGCUUUCCCCCAUUUUCUUCCGACAUGUCUCACCGAGUCUAUCCAAGUUUGUCAUACCAACACGAUGACACUACUUGCCUUUCUCUGGAAUGCAACAUAUGCGCAUUCCGAUCAUUUCGUUGCACACAAAUUGUUUUGCACGCAGCAGCAGACAUGCGUCUGGAAGCGCGCGCGCGUGUGUAUUUGUGUGUGCAUGUAUGUGUCUGUCUGUUUUAUGUAUUUGUGUGUGAGUAUGUGUGUGUGUGUGUUUAUAUUGUGUGUGUGUGUGUAUGUGAAAUUAUGUUCAUGUGAAUUAUUUAUGUAUGCGUGCAUGUGAGUGGAAAUGCAUUGAUGUAUAUUUGAGAGUCUGUAUUUAUGUGUGUGUAUAAGUUUGGUCGUACAAAUAGGAUAAAAAGAACUCGUGAAUAUUUAUAGAUAUAUAUUAAUCGGCCGAAAUUCCGUCAGUGUCAAAGACCAUGAACGAAGCUGUCGAUCCAUGAGUCACUUUGUAACUCCUGCCAAUUAAAAAUUAUAUAUAUAUGUGUGUGUGUGUGUAUGUGUGUGUGUGUGUGUGUGUGUGUGUGUGUGUGUAUGUAUGCAUGCAUACAUGGAUGUAUGUAUAUAUGUAUGCAUGUGUGUUUUAAUGUUUGUUUUUCUAAGUCGAGUUAUAAUAAAAAUAAUUUUACAUUAAACUGAAGUGUUACUCAAUACUUCAUAGAGUAGCUUUUUUAUUUAGCUUCUUUUUUUUUUACAAGCAUAGUGGUUGACUGUGACUUCGAAGUUUCGGCCUGCUUAGCCUUCAUCUUGCACAAAUACACAUACAUACCUAUAUAUAUAUAUAUAUAUAUAUAUAUAUAUAUAUAUAUAUAUAAAACUGUAUAUAUAUAUAUAUGUAUGUAUGUAUAUGUGUGUGUGUGUAUACAGCGAGAGAGGCAGAGUGAGACAUAGUCAGGGAGAUGUGUGGAAGUUUACGAAUGUUAAAAUGUUUUUGUGCGUCAUUGUUAUAAGUUGGUUUAGUGUACCAUUCAAACUUUUAUGCGUGUAUAAUAUUUAUACAUGGGAGUAUUGAUCAGUAUGUGUGUGUGCGUGUUAAAGAGAGAGAUUGUGUGCCCCAGCAUGGCCACAGCCUCUGGCUGAAAAAUGACAAUGGAGUAAUAGAAUGUGUGGAAAGGAGAGAAUCUGUGGCAUACGUGUGUGAAAAUGUACGAUACGAAAUAUGAGUGACAGAAUGUGUGUUUGAGCGCUUGUGUAUGUACUUCUUACAUUAUAAUACCUAUUUCUUUAUUGCCCACAAGGGGCUAAACACAGAGAGGACAAACAAGGACAGACAAACGGAUUAAGUCGAUUAUAUCGACCCCAGUGCGUAACUGGUACUUAUUUAAUCGAGACCGAAAGGAUGAAAGGCAAAGUCGACCUCGGUGGAAUUUGAACUCAGAACGUAGCGGCAGACGAAAUACCUCUAAGCAUUUCACCCGGCGUUCUGUCGAUUCUGCCAACUCACCGCAACGUUAUAUGAAUGUGUGUGUGUGUGUGUGUGUGUGUGUGUGUGUGUAGAUGUCUGAUUUUAUCAUUUCCUCCAUCCAUUCUUUAUUUGUCUCAUUAAUGUGUGUGUGCAGGCCAUGCGUGUGUGUGUGUGUGUAUGUAUGUUUGCAUGCGUGUGUGUAUACGUAUGGCUUUGUGUGAGUCAUUUCCGCCCACCAACACUUCACAUUCUUGCUAAUUCAGUGCAUGUAUGUAAUGUGUGUGUGUAUGUGUAUAUGUGUGUGUGUGUGCAUGCGCGCGUGUGCGUGUGCGUGUUUAUGUGUUGCAUGUAUAUACGUUUGUAUGCAUGUAUGAUAUGUAUGUUUGUAUCCAGGCAUGCAUUGUAUUGUUCCUGUGUAUGCAUGCCUGCAUGCAUGCUUUAAUUUUCCUUGAGUUUAUAUCAUGACUGACCACCUGCCUAGUAACCAGCUUGUAAAGAAAGGAUCUUCUAUUUGUCAUUCUUUUGUGCAAAUCACCCACCCAUCCAUUCAUCCAUCCAUCCACCUACCCAUCCACCAAUCCAUCCACCCACUCAUCCAUCCAUUCACCCAUCCAUCCAUCCAUCCAUUCCUUCAUUCAUUCAUUCAUUCAUUCAGCCUUUAAAGUUUUAAAACCUUGUAGAAUAUUAUUUCUUUAUUAAAACCUUGUAGAAUAUGAUUGUUCCAAGCCAUCGUGAUUGCUUGCAGAAUACCAAUUCUGUCAGUACUUCGGUACAGGCAUAAUGAAGGAAUGUGGCCUUGUCCAGGCAUGGACAUCCAUUAUCAGGAAGCAGGUCACAUAAGAUAUCUUUUUAUUUUUUAUAUUUUGUUUCAGCCGUUUGUCUGUGGCCAUGCUGGGGCACCGCCUUGAAGAAUUUUUAAUUAAAUCAACCCUAGGACUUUAAAAAAAAAAAAAUUGUACUAAUUCUAUCAUUUUCUUCUGCCGAACCACUAAGUUAUGGGGAUGUAAACAAACCAACACCAGUUGUCAACUGGUGUUGGGGAUAAACACAGAUACAAAGACACACACACACAUAUAUACAAUGGGCCUUGUGAGUGGAUUUGGUAGUUUCCGUCUACCAGAUCCACUUACAAAUCUUUAAUUGGCUCGAAGCUGUAGUGGAAGACACUUGCCCAAGGUGCUACACAGUGGGACUGAACCCAGAACCGUCAUCAUCAUCAUCAUCGUUUAACGCCCGCUUUUCAUGCUAGCACGGGUUGGACGAUUUGACUGAGGUCUGGCAAACCAGAUGGCUGCACCAGACUCCAAUCUGAUCUGGCAGUGUUUCUACAGCUGGAUGCCCUUCCUAACGCCAACCACUCCAUGAGUGUAGUGGGUGCUUUUACGUGCCACCAGCACGAGGGCCAGUCAGGCGGUACUGGCAACGGCCAUGCUCAAAUGGUGCUUUUUAUGUGCUACCUGCACAGGAGCCAGUCCAGCGGCACUGGUAACGACCCCGCUCGAAUGUUUUUUCUUCACGUGCCACCAACACAAGUGCUAGUAAGGCGACCUUGUGUUUCAGAAACAAGCUUCUUACCACACAGCUAUACCUGCUCCUCAUCAUCAGGCCGGUCACACUACAAAAAUAAUUGAAGCUGAUUUUUCAUUGAUGAACCAUUUAGAAAAAUACUGCAAGCCUGGCCCAGUUGGUGAGUGUGUUAUGCUCAUUAUUGUAAUGUUGUGGGUUCAAUUCCUGGCCUAACCAAUGUGUUGUAGCUUUGAGCAAAACACUUCAUUUCGCAUUUCACAGUCUACUCAACUGUAAUGACUAUCAACCCAGUGCCAGUGCAGCCUUCUCUCUCCCCUUAGCUGUCACACUCUGGAUGCUUUGUGAGUCGAAGGGUGGGAAAACCAAGAGGGUGUUUGUGUUUACUUGAGACUCCACAGACACCUGAAAGAAUUAGUGAAAGUACAGUACAUGUUAUUAAGCCAUUAUGUCCUCACAGGAGAUUGAUAACUAUACUGAGCUUAGGUAAUUGGAGGCUUUCAAUCAGUUACAUUGCAUAACUUAAAGUGCCGGUAAAAAAAAUGCCUGAUUCUUAAUAUGAAUUCAUGUGUUGAAACAAACCUUGUGUUUUGGUGGGGUCAUUAUGCCAAUAAUAAACACACACACACACACACACACACACACACACACACUCGUUCAAUAUCACUUCUUUAUUGUUUGUCAAUUGGUUAAAUAUCUAACCGACAAAUUGAUCGUUUGUUGAAUGUGCCGGUUAAAUGGUUAUUACUGUUGUAUUUCCUCGUCAUAUAGAUGUCAGACGAGCGGCUAACUUCGCAUUAUAGCUUGUUACAAUUUUGUACUUCCAGACAACAAUAUUAUACUGGGUGUAUUCUAAUUUCUAUAUUUUAGAGAUGAGGAAUUCUGUACAUUGGAUGGAUAUGUCCUCAUCUAGUUUGUUGUAACCACAACGUUUCGGCUGAUUUACUCUCCAGCCUUCAUCAGGUGUCCUGAGGAAAUUUUGAGCCCAACCCUGGGUUCUCAUUCCCAAAGUAAUUUUUUUUUUGCUGGUGUUAUUAUUAUUAUUAUUAUUAUUGAGUGAGAGAGCAGUGCAUACCAUCAAAAUGACAUUGGGGUAAAAUAUACGAAGCCCAGUAUACCCAUCAUGACUACCCGUCUGAUAAGGGUACACCAGGCACAUGCAUCACAACUAAAUGUGUGCGACAUGGUGAUCUCAUAUCAAGAUAAACAGCGCAUGACCUUGCAGAUGGGGCCCAGUUAGAAUUUUCUUCUGGUCGGGUAACCCAUCCCACUCAAAAGGUCCCUGCUUAAGGGUUGUUUAAGGAUGUUGAAUGAAACACCCGUGUUUCCAAAGGUGAAUUAUUCAAACCCCAAAGAAUUCCUCUCAACACAUGGCUAUGAUGCUCCCCCACUACUUCUGCUCAUGAUCAGAGAUGCACAUAUCGUCAGCCACUAAGGGACAUGGUCAACUGGUUAAGGUCAAACAACUGACAAGCAAAUCUGUGGUGUUGAGCAGAAUAUUUGCUGUAGCCCAUCUUUUAUACCAAGGCAAAACAAUGUACAUGAUAUCACUUCCAAUCAAAGAUUAGAAGCCAUGAGUAGAAGCCAUGAGAGCCACUGUCUGGUACUGCAUCAAAGCAUAUAUUAUUAUUAUUAUUAUUAUUAUUAUUAUUAUUAUUAUUAUUAUUAUUAUCAUUAUUAUUAUCAUUAUUAUUAUUAUUAUCAUUAUUAUUAUUAUUUUUUCAAGGCACUGCCUGGAAUUGAACUCAGAAUCCUGUGGUUCAAUUCCGAGUUCAAUUCCAGGCAGUGCCUUAAAUAAAUAAAUAAUAAUAAUAAUAACAAUAACACCAGCAAAAAAAUACCUUAGGAAUGAGAACCCAGGGCUGGGUUCAAAAUUCCGCCAUGACACCUGAUGAAGGCUUGGAGAGUAAAUCAGCCGAACCAUUGUGAUAACAACAAACAAGAUGAGAACACAUGUCCAUUCAUUGUAAAUAAUGUAAAUAAUGUGUUCUCAUUUAUUUCCUAAUUUUAUUCUUAGGCUCCACCGAUAGUCCAUUGAUUGAUCAAUCUCGGUAUUUCUAUCUUUAUUCAUCUUUAUUCAUUGUCAUCACUCAUACAUGUACACUACUGGCACAAGAUAUUACAUGGCCAUGUUGGUGGUAACUAAAGUGACAUCCCCUGCCAGGUUAGUCGGGUAAGGAGAGGUGCUUUGCAAUUACUUGGUUUCAGGACUACUGCUGCCACAUGGCCAUACUGGGGCACCACCUUGAAGGGUUUCAGUCGAACAAAUCAACCCCAGCACUUACUUUUGUUUUAAGUCUGGUAGUUAUUCUAUUGGUCUCUAUUGUUGAACUGCUAGGUUAUGGAGAUGUAAAGAAAUUAAUACGGGUGGCCAAGCAGUGGGGGUAGAGACAAACAAACAAACACACACACACACACACACACACACAUACACACACACACACAUACUCAUGUAUGUGUGUGUGUGUAUGAUGGGUGUCCACAGUUUCUGUCUACUAAAUCCACCCAUAAGGCAUUUAUUGCCCAAGGUGCCAUGCAGUGGAACUGAACCUGGAACUAUGUGGUCAUGGAGCAAAUUUCUUAACCACACAGUCGAUUCUAUGGUUAUAUAUUCACACACACACACACAGACCAUAACCAACGUUGUGGGUCUGAGUUUAACUGUGCUGUGAUUUAGAGAAACCCAUCCAGUAUUUAGUGUCAGACCAGAAUAUUCUUUGUGUAUAGGAUGUGGGGGUGGGGGACACCUGGUUCCAGGUGAAUGGUAUGCUCAGACUGUGACAAUUCAAUCAUCACCAUCACCUCCACUGCUACCAUCACAUCGCCAUCAUCGUCGCCAUCAUUAUCAUUAUCACAUUCAUCACCACCACCACCACCACCAUCAUACAACUACUUUUACUUCCAUUACACUCCCACACACACACACACACUACCAUCAUCACUACCAUUAAUACCAUCAGCAGCAGAACCAUAAUUACCAUCACCACCAUUACCACCCAUCAUUACCUCUUCCGCCAUGCAUCAAUUUAUGAAGUGAAUCCUUCCUUAAAAGCCAAAUGCCACACUGAUGACGCCAUUAGUCAACCACACACACACACACUUAUACAUACAUAAACACACUCAUACUUACAGAGAACACAUACACACACACAAUCACAGACACACACACACACACACGUACUCAAACAUACUUUACACUUUUAUUUUCACACAAAUAUUUAUAAACACAUUACACAUAUCUUAAUGUAUGCACAUAGACACACACUCACACACACACAUGUACUCAAAACAUGUUUUACACUUUUAUUUUCCCAUGAAUAAACACAUUACACAUCUUAAUACAUGCACAUAGACACACACACAAACACACACACACACACACACGCACACAUACAAUAUGUACACGCAUUCUUUUAUUCGUUUCAGUCAUUUGAUUGCGGCCAUGCUGGAGCACUGCUUUUUAAUCUAAUAAAUCAACCCCAGGAUUUAUUCUUUGUAAGCCUAGUACUUAUUCUGUCUGUCUCUUUUGUCAAACCACUAAGUUACGGGAGUUUAAGCACACCAAUAUCAGUUGUCAAGUAAUGGUGGGGGGACAAACACAGACACACAAAUACAUACAUACGUACAUUUAUAUAUCACCACCACCACCACCACCAUGACUGACCAGGCUGUCAGAUGUUGCUACACAUCGCUGGUCACAAUGCGCUUCGCAUUGUUUUAGCCUUCAAAUGAUGCCACCCUGCUGGCUAAGCAAGCAGGCCAACAGAAGAAAGAUGAGAGAAAGUUGUGGCAAAAGAGUACAGCAGGGAUCUCCACCAUCCCCUAUCAGAGCCUCAUGGAGCUUUAGGUGUUUCGCUCAAUAAACACUCACAACGCCCGGUCUGGGAAUCGAAAUUACGAUCCUACGACCCUAUAUAUAUAUAUAUAUAUAUAUUUAUAAGCGGAUUAUAAGUGGAUAAAUCAGUGUAUUGGCUUUAGAAUAACCCUCUUUAGCCCUUAAUUAUAUGAUAUAUAUAUUUAUAUAUAUAUAUAUAUAUAUAUAUAUAUAUAUAUAUAUUAUAUAUAUAAUCACUAGACAUAAGUUUCAUAAACUACAAAAUAUAAAUAACUACAUUACCACACCUGAAACGUACCUGUUAUAAAACUUCAUCUCGACUUGAAGGAAUCUGAAGGUAUUUAGAAUGUGCAAACCUAUUUCUGCAAAUGUACUAAGCACUGAUGCUGAUCAAUAAGCGUAGGAGCAAGGUAAAUGCAGUAAAAAUAGUGGGGGUCAGUGGGGCCUUAUUUAAGUUGGUCUUCAGAAAUUGAACCUUCUUACGAUACUCCCUGGGAGUUCAUGGUAUGAAAUUCGUUGCCAUUGCUCCGACUUGGUCACCAAUGCCAUGUAUUUAGUUUAAAAUGCAGUAAAAAUAGGGUUGGGGUCAGUGGGGCCCUAAUUAAGCGGCCUUUAAAAAACAGACCCCCUUAGGACAUUCCCUGGGAUUAGGGGAGUUAGUGGUUUGAGUUUCGUUGUCCUUGCACCAAUGGUCUAGAAGUUAAUGAACAUAAAAUCGUAACAGACAGAGAAACAUCACACAGAUUUAUAAUAGGAUACAUAUAUAUAUAUAUAUAUAUAUAUAUAUAUAUAUAUAUAUAUAUAUAUACAUAUAUAUAUAUAUAUAUAUAUAUACAUAUAUUGGUAAAAACGGUAAGAUAACAAAAGAAAGAAAGAGACCUCAAUAUUAUGUAAAUAGAGGAAUUUAUCUGUAAAUAUAUGUGAUAAUUGUCACAUAUUAUAUUUACAUAUAUAUAUAUAUAUAUAUAUACAUACCAGCCCUCAGUCAAACUGUCUAACCCAUGCCGGCAUGGAAAGUGGAUGUUAAACGAUGACGAUGAUAAUGAUGAUGAUGAUGAUAACAUAUAUAUGUGUGUGUGUGCAUAUAUAUAUAUAUAUACAAUGAGCUUCUUUCAGUUACCGUCAACCAAAUCCACUCACAAGGCUUUGGUUAGUCGAAGGCUAUAAUAGAAGACAGUUGCUCAAGGUGCCACCACGCAGUGGGACUGAACCCCAAACCAUGUGGUUGGGAAGCAAGCUUCUUACCACACAGCCACUUUUGCACCUUUACAAUACUUUCAUACACAUACAACACUUACCCCACACAUACCUUAGAUAUAUGCUACAUGGAUACGCAUACUGUACACAUACUGUGCACACACGUACCACAUGCGCAACACACACACAACAAUAUAUACACCUCCCCCACACCUAUACAUACAAACAUGUCGAAUACAUGUGAUAGCUUGUACCACAAACACCACCAACUCAACGAUUCCAAUGCUGACACCACACCACAAUUUCCACUACCAUCACCACCGCACCAACCCCAUGUCAAGCCACCACCACAUCACCGCUCCACAAUUCUACUAUCAUCAAAACCAUUAGCUUUGACUGUUAUUUCUAGCAUCCAAAGUGACUCAUGUAGAAGCCACCAUCUAUUAUUCAUGGGCAAAGUGAUAGUGGGGGAGGAAACAAAAAUCACUUUGAUAACAGCAUUUAUUUUUAUUUCUUCAACUGAUAAAUUGAUAAAUUAUUUCUAUUUCUAGGUCAUCGGUUUUUCAUUUCUGUGUGUGUGUGUGUGUGUGUGUGUGUGUGUGUGUGUGUGUGUGUGUGUGUGUGUGUGUGUGUGUGUUUGUGUGUGUUUGUGAGUGUGUGUGUUUGUGUGUGUGUAUUUGUGUGUUUGUGUGUGUAUUUGUAUGUGUGUGUACAUUGUUAAAAUAUGCGUAUAAUACAUACCUCAAUUAAUGACUUUCAAUAACGUUGGUUUUUACGACCAACAUAUUCCUGCAGACAUUGACCUCCAGGUGUUCAAAGUUGAUUGUUAUAUGCAAAGAUCUCGGCUCUCACCAGUCUGCAGGCGGGACAUUAGGGAAGCUGUUCCUUCUCCACCAUCACCAACAACACUGCCACCACCACCACCAUCUUCUUCUUGGUAGUCUCUUGGAUCUGAGAAAAAGGAUUCCACAAUUUCUUGCUGAACAACCAGCUUAGAUGAUUGUAAAUCAUUUGUUCAUCAUCAUCAUCAUCAUCAUCAUCAUCAUCAUCAUCAUCUUCAUCAUUUAAUGUCUGCUUUCCUUGCUGGCAUGGGUUAGACAGUUUGACUGAAAACUGGUAAGCCAGGGAGCUGCACCAGGUUCCAGUCUGAUUUAGCUUCGUUUCUACAGCUCGAUACCCUUCCUAAUGCCAACCACUCUGAGAGUGUAUCAGAUGCUUUUUAUGUGCCAUGAACACAGGUGCUUUUAUGUGCCACCAUCAUGGGUGCCAGUUAUGUGACACCAGCAUCAGCCACAACUAUGAUUUCACAAUUCUUCUCAAGCACAGCAUAUUGCCAAAGGUCACGGUCACUUGUCAUCACCUCGUUGAGGCCCAACAUUCGAAGAACAUGCUUCACCACUUCAUACCAUGUCUUCCUGGGUCUACCUCUUCCACAAAAAAUAUAUAUUAGCUACACAGGCAGUCUUAAUACCGAGACGUAAUAUUUAUCCCCACUUAAACGCAAAUGUUCUGUUAGAACAGCCUAUACUGUGGUAGAAUAGCAUGAGUGAUGCUCUCUCAUAUUAGCUUUUGGUGCAAAAUGCAUUCUUAUUUAUAUUGUUAGUGGGAAGAGAUAAGUCCUCACUAUCCCCAGCCCCAAGACCACCAGAUCACUUGAUUUUGACCUUCCUUAGUCCUGUCAAUGAUGGCUGCUUGACCAAAGCUAAUAUGAGAGUUUCUCUUGUGGCAUCUACUGCAGUAUAGUUUGUUCCUACAGAACAUCCAUGCUUUAUAUUAUUUACAUUAUUUACAUUUGAUGGAUAUUUGUCCUCAUCUUGUUUGUUGUUAACACUUGUUUGUUGUGUUAACAACAAACAAGAUGAGGAGAAAUAUCCAUCAUGUAAAUAAUAUAAAUAAUUCCUCAUCUCUUAAAUAUAGAACUGUAUCCAUGUUUUAGCAGGGAUAAAUAUUAUCUCAUUUGUUCAAAUGGUGAUCAAAUGUUUGUGUUGUACGUUAUCUCCCUCCUGCCAUCAAAUCGGUGUUGUCUGAUUGGUUCAUGGUAUGCCACUUGUCACAUGUCAAAGUGAAAUGUUUUUUUUAAGAACACAAAGCACUGCUCAGUCUUGGAAUGGAAACCAUGACCUUAGAAUCAUGAGUGCAACAUCCCAACCACCAGACCAGUAGUUCUCAACCAUUUUCUUUUUGCCUAUGGAACCAUUUGAUACCUAUUUUACUCUCCUGUACAUUCAUACACAUUCAAUGUAUAUACAAAAAAAAAUCCCAUUGUAUUUUUAGAAUUAAAUAUUUUUAGGAAUUGUAUUAAAAAAAUUGUUAAAAUAUUUUGCAUAUUGUUGAAAUAAAAGUAAUUUAUUGCACAUAAAUUUUAACAACAAAAUCUUAUAUGAAUCCCCACCCAAGGGUCGUAUGGACUCCAGUUGAGAACAACUGCACUAGGCCAACAUUCCUCACCACCACCACUGAUGAGCCUAUUAUAAAUAUAUAUAUUAGACUCUGUUGGCAACAAAGACCUGCCAAAAUAAAGCAUAUAUAUAUAUGUCAGGCAUGGCUGUAUGGUAAGAAGCUUGCUUUCCAACCACAUGGUUCCAGGUUCAGUCUCUUCUCUUAUAGCCUCAGGCCAACCAAAGCCUUGUAAGUAGAUCUGGUAGAUGGAAACUGAAUGAAGCUCAUGUGUGUGUGUGUGUGUGUGUGUGUAUAUAUAUAUAUACACACACACACACACACACACACACACACACACACACACACACACACACACACACACAUAUAUAUAUAUAUAUAUAUAUGUAUGUAUAUAUGUAUAUGGUUGUGUGUCUGUGUUUGUCUCACCACAAUCACUUGACAACUGAUGUUGGUGUGUUUACAUCCCUGUAACUUUGCGGUUUGGCAAAAGAGACAGAUAGAAUAAGUACUAGACUUACAAAUAGUAAGUCCUUGGGUCGAUUUGUUUAACCAAAGGCAGUACUCCAGCAUGGCCACGGUCAAAAUGACUGAAAUGAAUAAAAGAACAAAAGGCUAUCACUAUGUAUGACAGUUGGCAGUGAGACAUUGGAUGUGAGGGAGUUGUGGAGGCUGGAAGUAUGGUUUGAGGAUAGGUUCUUGCCUGAAGAGGAGACUGAUGAGUCAUACAUGUGGUAUGACACAUGCAUGAAGUGUGGUGCUACAUGGUUGUGUGUGACUUAACCCUUUCAUUACCAGCCUGGCUGAAACCAUCUCUGGCACUGAGUACAAAUGUCUUGUUUUCAUAAGUUUUGAAUUAAAAUCUUCCACCAAACCUUAGUCACAAUUUAUGUUCCUAACAUCAGCUGGAUGAUAACUAAGUUAUUUUACUAAAUUCUUUGUUAUCUUUAAAGUAAUUGAAAGAAACACAGAGCAUCAUCAUCAUCAUUGUUUAACGUCCGCUUUCCAUGCUAGCAUGGGUUGGACGUAUGACUGAGGCUGACGAACCAGAUGGCUGCACCAGGCUCCAAUCUUGAUCUGGCAGAGUUUCUACAGCUGGAUGCCCUUCCUAACGCCAACCACUCUGAGAGUGUAGUGGGUGCUUUUACGUGCCAGUUAGGUGGCACUGGCAAUGACCAGUCAGGCAGCACUGGCAACAACCUAGUCAGGUGGCACUGGCAACGGCCUAGUCAGGCGGCACUGGCAACGACCUAGUCAGGCAGCACUGGCAACGACCUAGUCAGGCAGCACUAGCAACAACCUAGUCAGGUGGCACUGGCAAUGACCUAGUCAGGCGGCACUGGCAACGACCUAGUCAGGCAGCACUGGCAAUGACCUAGUCAGGUGGCACUGGCAACGACCUAGUCAGGCAGCACUAGCAACAACCUAGUCAGGCGGCACUGGCAAUGACCUAGUCAGGUGGCACUGGCAACGACCUAGUCAGGCAGCACUGACAACGACCUAGUCAGGCAGCACUGGCAACGACCUCAGUCUCAAAAUAAAUGCAGUAACGAAAGGGUUAAGGUGUUGGAUGUGAAAGAAGCAAGUGGUGAGAAGCAAGUCUGAUGGAUGUAUGAACUGAAGGAAAGAGAGAGUUUGGUUGGACGUUCACAAAUCUUCCUGUAAUUCUUGGAAGAGAAGAUUGUUGUGAUAAGGACAGGUGAUGGGAAUGGAUGGUGAAUGGUUGGUGCUGUCAACGGAAGGUACAUGUGGCAGAGGAAGACAUGGAUGUGCUUACUGCAAGGUUUCAUAAAAAGAGAGAAUGAGACAUCAUUUCUGAUAAGCUACCCAACAUCCUAGACUACCCUUUAACACAUUGAGUGUCAAAGGGAAAUGUGUAAAUCGGUCCCGUGUGUCACAUGUGGUUUUUUUCAAAUUCAUAUAGUAUUUCAGUUGUAUACAAUAGCUGUAUAAAGUUCAUUUUUCAAUGAGAAAACGUAUACAAUAUACAUAUAUGCAGCACAUUUGUAAAGUACCAUGUGUAUACAUAUACUGUAUACAUGGCACUCAAUGUGUUAAAGAAAGGCAACUUAAAUGAUUGCCUUGAAGUCCCUCAACAAUACACUCCAGCAUUUUGUCUAUACAUAUUUUAUAUUUUCUCUCUCUCUCUCUCUCUCUCUCUCUCUCUAUAUAUAUAUAUAUAUAUAUAUAUAUAUAUAUAUAUAUAUAUAGAAGACACUUGCCCAAGGUGCCACGCAGUGGGACUGAACCUGGAACGAUGUGGUUCGUAAGCAAGCUACUUACUACACAGCCGCUACUACGCCUAUAUAUACACACACACACACACACACACACACACACACACACACACAUAUAUAUAUAUAUAUAUAUAUAGGAGGUACCAAAAUCUUUUAAGUGCUUAGGGCCUCUAUAGGUCUUAAUCCAGCCCUGCUCUCUCUGUCUCUCUUUCUCUCUCUCUCUCUCUCUCUCUCUCUCUCUCUCUCUCUCUCUCUCUCUCUCUCUAACUAUCUAUCUCUGUCCAUAGGUUGGCCUCAUUCUACACCCAUCAACUCAACCACUCCUUACUAACGGGUCUUUCCGUUUCUUGUUAACAAAUAUUGUAUGCAUCACCCCUGACCAUGCACACCCUGUCACCAACCAGUCCUUCUGCCCCACAAAACGUCAACCUUCUGGAAUUCCUGCUUUGCCGAUGUUUUUUCCUGCAUCAACUAGUUUGUAACUCCAGUUGGCCUGUGAAGACUUGGGGCCCCGAGUCCCUCCCACACACACACACACACACACACACACACAUAUAUGUCUGAUAGAAAGUGUGUUAGUAAGGGACAAAGAGAGGUAGGGGAAAGUAAGGCAUAUUUAAUGCGACAAGGCAGAUAGGAGGAGAGACAUUAGCAACCUAGUGUGAAAUUAGGUUCAAAGUGACUGUCUGCACCGCCUCCAUCACACACACACCACACAUAAACCUCCCUCUUUCUUUCUCUCUCACACACACUCCCUAUCUCCCUCUCUUACUAAUCUGUUUAUUACACCCUCACUCUAUAAACCUACUCUUUUUCCUGAUACUCCUGCUCUCCCUUCUCUAUGUCAAACACCAUCCCAACACUACCGCCACCACUACCACCUCUGCCAUUGCAUAUAUUGUUAUGUCAAAACUUACAACUGAGUUUUUGAUUCUGUUCUAGAAAUCUGUUGUGUGUACAUCUAGACACGCACACACUUUGUGUGUGUGUGUCUAUAUUACAGCAUGAUACAUAUGUGUGUGUGUGUGUGUGUGUGUGUGUGCGCGCGCGCGCAUGUGUAUCUAUCUAUCUAUUUGAUAAAAAUGGUGAGACAAAAAAAGAAAGAGACCCCGAUAUUAUGUAAAUAGAGGAACUUAUCUGUAAAUGUAAUAUGUGACAAUUAUUUUAUCAUGGCUACCGAAUAAUUGUCAUAUUACAUUUACAGAUAUCUAUUUAUCUAUCUAUCUAUCUAUAUAUAUAUAUAUAUAUAUAUAUAUAUAUAGCAAUAAUAAUUCUCUACAUCGACGUCACCAGACAGGCCCGACACCGUCACGGUGUCCUUAACCUGCAAAGGGAGGUAAUUCCCCGACGAAGCGGAAACCACACACGGACCAUGGUUUCAAGGUGUAUUGCCUAUCGUCGGCGUGUGGUAGGCUUCCGCUUCCUCGACGAAUCCUCACUCUGCAGGAUAUUCAUAUAUAGAUUUUCAAGCAAAAUACAUUUGCUGAUUUUGAAAAUCUGUUCGAAAGCAAUAAUAAUUCUGUAAAAGAGAUAUAGACAGUAACUGCUCGAUAACAUAAGGGACUAAAGCCAUCUGAAUAUGGCUAGGGACAGGGCAGGGUGGUGGGGGUGUUACUGUUGCAUUUAGCCCCAGGCGAACAUUCCGUGUGUGGUUUCCGCUUCAUCGGGGAAUUACCUCCCUUUGCAGGUUAAGGACACCGUGACGGUGUCGGGCCUUUCUAUCUAUCUAUCUAUCUAUCUAUCUAUAUAUAUAUAUAUAUAUAUAUAUAUAUAUAUAUAUAUAUAUAUAUAUAUUCUUUUACUCUUUUACUUGUUUCGGUCAUUUGACUGUGGCCAUGCUGAAGCACCGCCUUUAUUUGAACAAAUCGACCCCCAGAACUUACUCUUUGUAAACCUAGUACUUAUUCUCUCGGUCUCUUUUGCCAAACCGCUAGGUUAAAGGGAUGUAAACACACCAGCAUCGGUUGUCAAGCGAUGAUGGGGACACACACAAACACGCAAACAUAUUCAUACGAUGGGCUUCUUUAAGUUUAUGUCUACCAAAUCCACUCACAAGGCUUUGGUCGGCCUCAGGCUAUUGUAGAAGACACUUGCCCAAGGUGCCACACAGUGGGACUGAACCUAGAACCAUAUGGUUGGGAAGUGAGCUUCUUACCACACAGCCAUGCCUAAAAGAUUUGAGGAGUUUUCGUCAGAGUGACUCAAACUGUUAGGUGUACAAUCUGAGUGCUCAAAUUGGUAUGGCACUAAAAUUCCAGUUUGAACUGCAGUUGAACAUAUGAUUUUGUGACUGCCUUUCUAAAGCACCUAGAAGUCGCUCCUCCUUGAGCCGGUAGGUAUAGAUUAAAACAGAUAUGAAAAGGCAAAUAUGGUUGGACAAGGCUUGACAAGAAUAUUUAAUUUAGCUAUUUUAUUUUUAUGGAGAUUUACUUGCAUAGCAAGUGACCUGAUCUGAGAUCAUGUGCUGGAACGAAAACAACUGCAGCGUGGAAGGUGUUUAUAAGCCAUUUAAGAAACAUGCAAAAACCGUUAGAUUCACUUCAACAUUUAAAUUUAAUUUGCCAAAAUAUUUUUGUUCCUUUCAGACCGCAACCUGUUCACUGACAAAAUUCAGAAUUUUGUCAGUGAACAGGUUUUUGUGUGUUUCUUAAAUGGCUUAUAAACACCUUCCAUGCUGCAGCUAUUUUAUUAUAUAGUUAAAUUAAAUGUUGUCAAGUCUUGCCAAACCAUUUGCUUUUUCAUUUCUGAUUUAAUCCCCCCCACACACACACAAUUAUCUGUGUGUGUGUGUGUGUUCAUAAAUAUAUAUCUUUUACUCUCAUUUCAUUCCUUUGACUACAACCAUAUUGGGGUCCAGUACUGAAGGAUGCAGUUGACCAAAUCGACCCCAGUUUUUAUUUUUUAGUCUGGCACUAAUUCCUACUACCAAACCACAGAAUUAUGAGAAUAUAAACAAACCAUCACCAAUUGUCAAGCAGUGAGACUCCUACAUAUAUGCACACAAAACACACACACACAUUUGAAUAUAUAUAUAUAUAUUAUUUUUAUUGUAGUUUGUAUUUAUAUUCGUGUAACAUUGUCUGUUUUCCGUCCUUGUUUUCGUAUACAUUCAAUGCUUUCUUCCAAGGAAUCUAAUGCUCUUAGCUUAGUUUUUCCUUGGGGCUGGCCAGAUUGGAGCAAUCUCAAGAUUAAUCAGCCGAAAUUACGAGGAUGAUCCUGUUCUUGACUGAGGAUAGAAAGCUUUGAAUGACCCGUCCUUGUUUUUUUGUAUCGUCUAUCUGGAUGUUUUGUUGUCCCUUUUUGUAUCAUCUAGUUGUCCAGAUGUUUUGGGCUCUUGUCCCAUUUUGUAUUUUAUACAUGUAUAUAUAUAUAUAUAUAUAUAUAUAUAUAUAUAUAUAUAUAUAUAUACAAAUUAGUAAAUAAAUGGCACAACUAAGUACCGAUAUUUACUGGAAAUAGCGAACGUAAAAAUACGACGCUAAUGUGUAGCUUCACCGCGUAUGUAUUAGCAAAAAUGCGUGUGUGCAACAAAAUAGAGAAAAAAAACCGUCUUACCUCCAGGGAGAACAUCUGAAAGAUGAAACACCCGGAAAAUGGAUAAUGUGGUACCUGCAGGUUUCAGGUUUUGCAAGAUAUGUCUCUCACUCAUAUUUUGCUUUACCUUCUUCAGCCAAACAUAUACCAAGACGAAAUCUACGAUGUUACCACAUUAAUACUAACACACUCGACUGAAAUACGGAACGCUAACAGUAAUGGCUGUGUAGUAAGAAGGUUGCUUCACAAUCACAUGGUUCUGGGUUCAGUCCCACUGUGUGGCACCUUGGACAAGUAUCUUCUACUAUAGCCUUGGGCUGACCAAAGCCUUGUGAGUGGAUUUGGUUCAUGGAAACUGAAUGAAACCCAUUGUAUGUAUGUGUGUGUAUAUAUAUAUAUAUAUAUAUAUAUAUAUAUAUAUAUAUAUAUGUAUAUAUAUAUGUAUGUAUGUUUUUGAAUGUCUGUUUUUGUUCCCCCCCCACCACCACCACCAACAUUGCUUAGCAACUGAUGUUGGUGUGUUUAUGUCUCUGUAACUUAGCGGUUUGGCACAAUGCACUUCCAUUUCUGUCUUGAUUUCACCAUUCUUUUCCCUCUUGACCUAAAGUACUUGACUAGAUCAUCUUCCCAUCAUUGUGAAGGCCUUCCAAAUGGUCUAUUCCGAUCUGUUGGGUACCAUUUGGCAACUGCAUGGAUCCACCCGAUGUCUGUGAACCAUGUCACAUAUCCCGCUCAGCGAUACUUGUGCUCUCAGUACUCUGCGAUAAAAUUGUUCGCUCUGCUCCAUUCUCGAAUUAUCUCAUUCCAAAUGUGCUCUCUUGGUGAUAUUCCUUGCAUGGAUCCUUCCAUAGCCCUUUGCAUCAUAGCCAAUCAAUGUUCAGUCCUCUUCAGAGUGGCCCACUUUCCACUUGCAUAUAACAGCACUGUUAGGACAGUGUUACUGAAGAAUCUGACACAUAUGGCAUUGUCUACCUUGGCCUUGAGCCCAUCCUUUAUUCAGUUAAAUGUCUUCUUCCAUUCUGCCCUUGAUCUCUUUAAGAUUUCAGCAUCCAUAUCUUGGCGCAUAUUCAUUGUGUGUCCUAGCCAGAAGUACUCCUUUACCUCCUCAGUUUCAUUGUUUCUCACCUCUAUUUGACCUUAUACUCUGUCUUCCAGUUGCAUAUAUUUUAAAAGAUACCCUUUGCCUGAAGAGUAACCGGCUGUAUACAUCUUGCUUGGAUAUUUGUCACUUCUGAUGUUCCGCUCGCUAUGAAACAUACAUCACCCAAAUCUUUCCUAUGCCAUUUCGUAACUCUUGUACUCUUAUUCACACACUUGGUAACCCUGGUCACCUACUGUGAAAUAUAAAAAUAACUUUUUCAGUUUAUCGUAGUCCGAUAUGAAAAAGAUUCACAACCUUCCAUCUCAAUAAACUACAAUUAUCCUAAAUGCUGUUUUUUUUUAUAUUUACUACAGACUGCUUGAAGCUAACUUCCUUUCUGUUUCUUGUUCCUUGGAUUUUACAUUUUUACAUACAAGAGAGAAGACCUACUUUUGCCUGUCCCUUGUCACAGCUCCUUUCUCCAGCGUUCACCAUUUCACCUCGUUAUGGCUUAACAGCCUUCACCAUUUGUUUUUACUGUUUUGUUCUUAAUGUCCUGAUUUUGUUACCCCUUUAACCCUCUACAAAAAUCCCAAAUUUUAUUUAAUUUGCUUCGCGUGAAUGACUGCUUUAACGAAAUCGAGUCUUCUCCCUACCUUCGAAACACGGAAUAGAUAAGACAGGGAACAACUGAUGAAGGGAUUGUUCUUUAUAUUGCCUGUCUCCUUUCUCUAUUUGUUUCUUUUGUUGUCCAAAAAUAAGUUGGUUUUUUCAUGUUUUUGUUUUUUUAUGUUCUCAUUUUCAUUUUGUUCAUGUACCCUGAGUGGCUGUGUAUAGGUGUAGGAGUGGCUGUGUGGUAAGUAGCUUGCUUACCAACCACAUGGUUCCAGGUUCAGUCCCACUAUGUUGCACCUUGGGCAAGUGUCUUCUACGAUAGCCUGAGGCCGACCAAAGCCCUGUGAGUGGAUUUGGUAGACGGAAACUGAAAAGAAGCCCAUCGUAUAUACGUAUAUAAUGUUUGUGUGUCUGUGUUUGUCCCCACAACAUCGCUUGACAACCGAUGCUGGUGUGUUUACGUCCCCUUAACUUAGCGGUUCAGCAAAAGAAACCGAUAGAAUAAGUACUAGGCUUGCAAAGAAUAAGUUUUGGGGUCGAUUUGCUCGACUAAAAGCAGUGCUCCAGCAUGGCCACAGUCAAAUGACUGAAACAAGUAAAAGAGUAUAUAUGUAUGUAUAUAUACAUAUAUAUGUAGAUAUGUACAUAUAUGUAUGUAUAUAUGCACAUAUAUAUGUAUUAUUAUUAUUAUUAUUAUUAUUAUUAUUAUUAUUAUCAUUUUUAUGAUUAUUAUAUAUAUAUAUAUAUAUAUAUAUAAAGGCAAAAGAAAAAGUAUUUUCUAUACCAAUGUGCUGAAAAAUAGACUUUAGAUCAUCUAGCCACAAACAACGUGGAGGCACACGGCCUAGUGGUUAGAGCAGUGGACUCGCAGUCGAGGGAUCGCGGAUUCGAAUCUCAGACCGGGCGAUGUGUGUGUUUAUGAGCGAAACACCUAAGCUCCAUGCAGCUCCAGCAGAAGGUAAUGGCGAAACUUCUGCUGACUCUUUCGCCACAACUUUCUCUCACUCUUUCCGCUUGCAGCUCACCUGCGAUGGACUGGCGUCCCAUUUAGGUGGGGAACCUAUAUGCCAAGAAACCGGGAAACCGGCCCUUAUGAGCCAGGCAUGGCUCGAGAAGGAACAAAACAACCACAAACAUUACUUUCCUUUAUAAAUACACUGCAUGAUGAAAUGUGGAAAGCAAGCUAACAGAAAUUAUUUAAAAUUCCGUUAAAAUUUCUGUUAGCUUGCUUUCCUCAUUUCAUCAUGCUGUGUAUUAUAGACAAAAAUAUUGUAUGUGGUUAGAUGAUCUAAAGUCUAGUUUUCAGCACAUUGGUAUAGAAAAUACUUUUUCUUUUGUCCCUAUUUAUAAUUGUUUAUAAUUUUCACCUUAAAAGCUAUUUUAAUAUGCUGGCCACUGAUAGGAAUUUUUUGAAGAAUUUCAUCUUUAUAUUAGAAGUAUAUAUAUAUAUAAUAUAUAUAUAUAAUCCUCUUCAUCAGACUCUGAAUUCAUCCUUUACAUUGCUAGAACCACAUCACAAACACUGGCUCUUCUCUGCAGGGUUAGAAAAUAGUUCAGCAUCCAACAGUUCCUGGUACUCUACAAGGCUCAAAUUUAUGGCCCAUGAUAGAGCACUAUUACUACAUCUGGAAUGGAACCACUAUCAGAAUGUACAGCUUCCUCACCUUACACUCAGAUGAGCAUGUGAUUAGUGAGAACACAGCUUAUCUGCGGAUUUUCCAUAUCUCUGUUUUACUUUGUGUUACCAUUUUUUUAUCCAUGCCAUCUUACACACACACACACACACACGUACAUACAAUGUAUGUACCUGUGUGUCUGUGUUUGUGUGUGUGUGUGUGUGUGUGUGUGUGUGUGUGUAUGCAAGAGAUAGCUAGUAAUAUGAUGUUGUGGUAUGACAUAUUUUGACCCCGAGCAGCACAGAUGUAAAGGGCCAGUCUGCUUAAUGACAAAAGAGGUUAUGGAUAACAAGGAACUAGAAAGGGGGUGGGUGGGGGGAGGGAGGGAACAAGAGAGUAGAGUCUGUCUGUGUGUCUGUCACCUAGUUAGGUUAUAUUAUAAGACAAUUGAAUUGUCAGUCAGUGGGAUUAUGUACCCCAUGACAUCCUGGUAACUGAGGUUGAGGUGUAAGGGUGCUAUUGGGAUUUGUCUGCAAUUGUUUCAUAAUAUGAGAGGACCAAGGUGAACCUUCGCCCACAUCUGUUACCACCCAUGCAUACUUGACUCUGCAAACUCCAUCCAACCCAUGCCAGCAUGGAAAAGUGGCUGUUAUGAUGAUGAUGAUAUACUUACACACACACACACACACACACAUCAACAACAACAGCACUGGUGAGUGAGGCUGACAAACUGAUGUAGAUUCUCUGCUGUAUUAUAGUAAACACACCAUGUAUUGGUGUGUCUCUAUAAAUGAUCCUUUAUAUAUACAUGUGUGCGAAACAUGCAUGCAUACAUCCAUCCAUACAUACAUACAUACAUAUAUACAUACAUACAUACAUACAUACAUACAAACAAAUACACAUAUACAUAUAGACACAUAAUAUACAUACACACAUGCGUGCACACACACACACACAUAUAUUUAUGAAUUUAUACAACUUUAAAUCCUGUUGUAACACUUAUGCCAUUACUUUCUAUUAUUACAAUAUUCACAUAUGUGGCGUUAAUGAUAAUAGAUGUAUGUGUGUGUGUAUAUAUGGUUGUAUAUGUGUGUGUGUAUAUAUAUAUAUAUAUAUAUAUAUAUAUAUAUGUAUAUAUAUAUAUAUACACACAUAUACAUAUAUAUAUAAUGUAUAAUAUGUCUGCGCUGUCUGGAAUUACACUCCAUGAGCAAUCUGUGUUGCAACCAAUUUAGGAGAGAUGGGAAUAGUGGAGACGUCUUUCUUAUAGAAUAACACACACACACACACACGUAUUAUGUAAUGCCCACAUAUACACAAUACCCUAUAUUUAAGACCACACAGAUUAAUGUUUGUCUGUCUCAUUCAAACUCUGCUUACCAUUGAGAGCCUCAAGAGACUCUUUGUCUUGUUAUUCAUUCACAGACUCCUUCUUGAAAUGUGAGAGUUCAGUUCUCUUCAUCUUUCCUAUUUCUUUGUUUGUUGCUAUUGUUAUUUAGCCCCAGGCCAGCUUUGAUCAUGCAGGCCCAUGAUCAGAAGUGCUCCAUCUGCAAUUACAUUUUACCCAUAAUGCCUUCCUAUUUGAAGACAUUAAGUUGUGGUUUGAGAGACAUUUGGUUACUAUUUCUGACAGGUCAACUGACCACUUAGAGGGAUUUUUUUUAUUCUUGGAGUGCUCUAAGAUCAUGUUAGAAUUAAAACUGGAGUUCUUCUUAUUGACCUAUUUCAACUCUUCUGGUUUGAGAAUAUGCCUAACCUAGAGUCAUGUUGAAGCCAACACAGACCUCCUUGUCUGAGGUGUGUUGAGUCAUACACAGACUGACACACUUCUGAGGUGUGUGAGUAUAUUUUGCUACUGCAGCUUUGCAAAGCACUUGAAGGUUGCUGGUGUUGUAUCUACAAGAUAUAUUCAACACAUAUUGUAAAUGUAUUGUAAGGCACAUUCUUUGUUCACAUAAUUGUUAAAGAGGUACCAGAUUCCAGGGGAAGUUAUCAGUGAAGGACUACUGUCUCUUCCAGGAUGAUAUUUAACUCUCAUCUAUGGGAAACAAGGGAAUCCAAAUGCACUAGUUUUGUUGAGAAUGCUUGUAAAACUGAUGUCUGAGGAAAAGAGGGAAGAGCAGUGUUGAUUCACUUAGGGUACCCAUUUACAGGAGUGAAGUGAGCGUGAUCAUUACCAGCGUCGCCUUACUGGCACCUGUGCCAGUGACAUGUGUAAAAGAUUCGAGCAAGGUCAUUGCCAGUACCGCCUGACUGGCCCCCGUGCCAGUGGCAUGUAAAAAGCACCCACUACACUCUCGGAGUGGUUGGCGUCAGGAAGAGCAUCCAACUGUAGAAACUCUGCCAGAUCAAGAUUGAAGCCUGGAGCAGCCAUCUAGUUUGCCAGCCCUCAGUCAAAAUUGUCCAACCCAUGCUAGCAUGGAAAGCGGACGUUAA
rnacentral:lncRNA from 1 species